UUGACUAACCUAUUGAAGCUUGAAACCUUAAACCCCUAUGAUCAUUCGUCCUUCUCCACCCUUUCUUUGCUUCGAAAUUGAAGGAAAUAAAAAGAGAAAUGAUUUCUCUUUCUAUCCACUAUCUAAUAUUUAUUCAUUUUUUUAUUUUAUUAUAAUAUUAUAUUAUUUAUCAUCUAUUAACACUAAUAUAACAUUUAUAACAUAUAUAUAUUAUAAUACCUUGACCGUCCAUUUCAAUUAAAAAUAAAGGUAUAUUAGUUUUUUAGGUCCCUUAUUUAUAAUUUACCUUAUAAUUAAAUAAUAAUUCACACAUUUAUACUAAUGUGGUUUAAUCAUUAUACUUAAAUUAAUCACUAAUUAGACAAAAUUACCUAUCUAAAAUUCAAUUCGCUACUAAAAUAACUCUGUAAAUAUUUAUUAAAAAUAUUUAUGAGUCUAGCUUACGAAAACGGGGUCCCAAAACCACACUUUCCAGCACUAUUGACUUUCGGGUCGUUAAAGGUUAUCCUGUUGAUAUGAAUUGUAUAAAAUGGAAUGUUAUAUGACUUGAGUGUGAUGAACUCACCUAUUGAUAUGAAUUGUGGUAACAAGGAAAAUUGCUUAGUUAAUUAUUUUGUUAUGUUAUUAUGGGAAUUAAGGUAAGUUGCAUUGUUUUGAACCUAUGAACUUACUAAGCAUAUAUAAUGCUUACUCUAUAUCGUUAUCCAUUUUUUGUAGUUGAUAUUUUGUGGAACCCGGCGAUUGGAUCAUUCCGUAGAUCACACUAUCCAGCUUUAGUCUUGAUAGACUUUUAUAUCGUUCAAAACUCGAUUUUGUAGCAUGUAUAUAGGCUUGAUAUGCAUAAGUGUUAUUUUGGAUGAUAAUGGUUUUGAUAUACAUAUAAUACUUGUUUUUGAACAUUAUAUGGCAUGUUUACAAGUCUUGAUAAGUGUUUGUGCUUGUAAAUGGUUUAAUGUCUAAUUGGUGGAUAUGGAAAUGGAUGAGUAUUGAUAUGUGCAUUGUGAUUAAUGGAAUGAAUGGAUUGGUAUAAACAUGUGAUAGUAUCAAAUGUUAAAUUGCACACUUGAAUUGGAUGAAUGGUACCAAUUUAGUUGAAUGACUUGUAAUGUUAUAUGAUCUCUUUAUUGAUGUAAUGGUGUGUUUGUGGCACAUUGGUUAGUUACUUUUUAGGUUGAAAUAUGUAUUUUUUGGAGUGGAAUUGGUAUGUUUUGAUUAGGAUUACAAGUUGUGAAGAUUACUUUGUUUGUUUUGUUUAGUAAAAUGUCCAUUUCAUGUGAAAUAACUUGAAUUGUUUUGUGGUUGGUUAAAUGAAUGUGUUGGUAUGUGUAAGAGUUAUUUUUGUGCAGGUUUGAAUGUUCAAAAUUGUACCAUUUGAUUAUUUGGUGUGGCUUGGCACAAAUUAUGUACCAAAUGGCCAAAAUUUACCAAAAACAAGGUUCUCGUCUAGACGUGAAUUUUCCUUCAUCGCAACGUCAAAUGAUAGUUUGUGACGUCCCGACAUCAAGUGGUCCGACAUCAUGACGUGACUCACUGUCCAACAUCGUCACGGCAUGGAGAAGGGCUUAUCGCAACAUGAAGUCCAAGUUUUUAAAACUUUACAAUAUUUUCCUAAUUCAUGCCUAGGUCACCUAUAGAGCUUUCGUAAGCUCGAUUUAGUCUUAAUUUCUAUUUAAAACACAUCCUAUGAUUACAAUUGAGUUACUAGUGAAUGUUGCAUGAUUUUUUUAAUGUUUCCAGUUCUGAAUUACUGUAGUAACAUCUUGUAACUCGGGCCUAGCGACUAGACCGAGUAUGGGGUGUUAUAUUCUCACAGUACAACCAAUGAUAUAAGUCCUAAUACUGGUCUAACGCUCACCAAUUUAGCGACCUCACCAUUAUGCAAAGACUAUAUCACUCUCCCACUAAGCUUCCCCCUCAAAACCAUAGUUUUGCAACUCAAGAGACUCUCUUAAUUGCUUACAAAAGUAAUGCACAUAUACAUGUUCCUAACUUGAACAAAUUAUGCUCUAUCAAACCAUAUUUUAAAAGCAGUUAUAAAUCGAGAUAGUGCACAAUUGAUUUCUCAAUAAAGUAAAAUAAGGAAAUGAAAGUAAUAAAAGAGAAGGUUGGGGAGUAUCAAAGAAAGUUAAAUUGAAAAGUAUGUUGUAGUAUACUAAAUUAAAGUAAAGAUUGAAUCAUAAAGAUGUAAAAAGUUUUGAAGUUCAAGUAUAAUUAUUUUAAAUUUUGGGGAAUGAAGUAUAAACAGGAGAAAUUGAAGGACCAAAAGAGAAAAUAGCCCAAAUUUCUUAUGACAUGAAAUUGAUGUGUAGGGACUAAAUUGAAUAAGUGAAGAAAUAUGAAAGACUAAAUUGUAACUUUUACCAAAAGUGAAUAAUGACUCAAUGACUGAAUUUUGAAGAAACAUGAAGGAUAAAAUGGUCAUUACUCAUAUUAGAUAAUUUUAUGGUGUAAUAAUUAAGAAAGAAAAGUGUUAAAUUAUGAUUGGUUGAAUAUUUUAUUAUUUUAUAAGAUAUUUUAUUAUUUAAUUGAUAAAUUAAAUAAGAUAUUUGUAUGGAAAUAUGAAGAAAAGUCUUCACGUUUCCAACGCCACUUAUAUAUGCAUGAAAGGGGAUUUUUAUUUCUUUAUAAUUUGGUCCCUUACCAUGAAAUCUCACUUUUUCUCUCAAAGUCCUUGAAAAUUUCCCUUGCCACCCAAAAGGAGGAGUGAAAUAGAGAUACGAGAGAGUUAGAAUAUCAUCUUGAAAGAAAGAAAUUGGAAGUGGAAGUGGAGAAAGUUGUGGAAAAAGUGAAGAGAUUAAAGAGACAAGAUAAGCACUUCAAGAAUUUUACUAUAUUUAAUUUUAAUCAAGUAUAGAUUAUGCUAAAUAGUUGAAUUAAUUAUGAAUAAACUAAUAUUAUGUAAUGAACUGAUUUGAUAUGUUGAAAUAAUAGUAAAAGGACUCAAAUCUAAAGUGGAAAAAAGUUUAAUAUUUUUAUAAAGUAUUAAGAUAAAGAGUUUAAAUGAUGUGUUAGGUAUUAGUGAAUUAAUUACAAAGUGAUAUCAAAGUGAAAUUGUGGUAAAUAGUGAAUUUUCAUGAUGCUAAUGACUAAAUUGUAAACUUUGAGAAACUUAAAAUUAAAAAUAAUUGAAGUGAGGUGCAUAAAAAUUAGACAUGUGAAGUAAGAAAUAAUAAUGAAUUAUUUUAUUAAAGUUUUAUGUGAUAGUGAAAUUGAACGAAAAGUGAAGUUAGAAGAACAAUUAUAAUAAUUACUGAGUUUUUGUAAUGUUAAAGUCUAGAUUGCAAAAUGAUUAGAAAUGACUAUAUGUAUUAAAAACAUAAGAAAUUUAUUUCUAGUAUAGGUGCUUAUUAUGUUUUAAUGCGUUCAUUAAGUGAGAAUGAAGAAGAAGUAAUGAAAAUAUUGUAAACAAUGAAAAGAAAGUGAUAUGAAUUAUAGUAUGAAAAGUGAAAAUGCAAUUAAGUUUACAUGUAAGCUUUAAGGGACUAAAUAGAAUAAUAAUCAAAAGAAUAAAGUUAUGUACAAUCAAAUGAUCUUGUAUAAUAAUCUAAGAGUUUGAUAAAUGAAAUAAGUGUUAACUGUUUAUAUGAGUGAUAAUAAGUAAAAUUUUUACUAAAACAGUUUUAGAUAGCAGCAGUAGUUCAACUUUGAAAAUUCACAAAAAUAUUGUAGAGAUCGAUUUAGAGGUUAAAUUAAAUAUGGAAUUAAAUCUUAUUGAGUCUAAUUUAUUAUAAAAGAAACAGUGUAAGUAAAUGAAUAGUAGAUCAUGAGAUAUAUGAAUUUUUUAAAGAUAAUGUCAGAAUGAUUUAGGGUUCCCCUAUUUUGACUUUGAAAAAUUGUUUCAAAUUUUACAAAAAUGUUUAGAAGAUGAAAUUUAUAUGCUUAAAAUAUUGAUGAGUCUACUUUUAAGGGAAACAAACAGAAACAUUAUAUGAGUCCUAUACUAAAAGAUAAUUAAUUUUUAGUAAAGAAUGGUCAAAGUUGCCUAGCAGUAGAAUAAGGGGAAAAUAAAACAAUUUACUGUAUUAAUUGGCAUAAGAGGAAAUUCUAAAAAAUUUAUUGUAAAAAUUUAAUUGAGUCUAGAUUCAAAAACAACAAGCGGAUCUUAAUUUGGAACAUUUUAGACCAAAAUAAAUAAUUUAGUGACUGCUACUCAAGUGGACAGUUUUGCUAAAAUUAUGUAAAUAGUAAAAUUGAAAUUAAUGAUGCAUAUAGGCAUACAAUACUAAAAGACAUAAAUUAUUGUAUAAUUACAUGUACAUAAAGGAUGAGGAAUGGAGAGGAGGAGGAUAAAUAAUGGAAGAGUUAUAAUAAUAAGAAAUUGUUGCAAAUGAUGGAUUCGCUAAUACAUAAGAGAAGUUCAGAUGUAUUGUUGAGGUACUAAGUGAGUGAUUAUUAUAAAAUGAAUUAAGAAAGUCUUAAAUGAUAAAUUGAUUGGUAUAUGUUAGCAAUAGUUAUGAUAUGUAAAAAGAGUAAAAUAUUUUUUAUAAGAGUAAGUCCUCUAAAGGACUUAUUUACAAAACUUCAAUAAUUAUGUUAAUUUUAUAGACAUUGUUAUCUUUGAUCAAAUAACAUGUUAUAUUAUGUGGACUUGAUGUGAAAUGAAUUGGAUUGGUUAAAUUUUAAUUUCUGGACAGUGAUUUAAGUGAAAAUUGUUGAAAAGUGGAAAUGUUUUGGAGACAGGGAGCAUGUCACAACAACUGGAGAACCAUGUCGCAACGAUUAUUCAAUUCAGUGAAGUCAGUGAGUGAUGUCGCGACGUGAAACCCUCUACGUUGCGACAUCACCCCAAAAUUUUGCAAAAUUUUUAUUUUAAUCCUUGUUCUCUAUAAAGAAAGCUAAAAAUUAGCAUAAUAUACUACUUUCAUAACUGUUUUGAUUUAAUCCAAUGUCUUCAACACAUGGAAAGUAACUUUCCUUGUUUAAUAAGUAAUCUGCCUUGAGCCGAAGAAACUGCAGAAGCAUUCAAUUUCAACUCAGUUGGUCUUCAACUUAUGGGCUUUACACGUAAGACAAGUAAGUCAACUUUGAAAAUAGACAAGUAAGACAAUAAAACUGUGCCGGAAGAUAUAACCACUGUUUCAGCCAAAGGAGCAACUAUGAAAAUCACCUUGCCUCUAACAAAUACUUUUAUAGAUUAAACAAGCAGGAGCCUCCAAUGAAUGGGAUUUUGCCAUUAGUAUCAUUUUUGUGAAAGAUUUAGCCAUUCAUAUUUCAUAUACGUAAGAUCGAUUUAUGAAUGGUGAACAUUAUUGUUGUUAUGAUGACGAAAUUUUAUUAAAUAAUAAAAUAAUAAAAACAAAUGUAGGGGGAGCAUCGGCCCGAUUAAUACUAAUCAUUUAUUAUGAGAGGUUUAAACCUGGUGUGUAUGAUCUCAUAUAUGUGAUGUCAUCUGGUAGAUCACCACCAAUUCCCAGUUUUUCACCUUCUAUAAAAGCCCUACAACCUCUCACCAUUUCUUCAAAGUAACAAAGAUCCUCAGCUCCUGUAAUACUAAAUUUACAGCUUUAGUUCAGGGAUGAAGCUCAGGCUAGCAAUCACGUGGUCGUUUCGAUGGAUGGAACAAGGUAAGGUAGGUAGGUAGCUAGAGCUUGCCAUGUUGGUAAGUUUUAGAGCAGGAAGGUGACAGAAGAGAGGGAGCACACAGGGCUCUUUUCUUGCAUGAGAGGGUCAUGCUUGAAACCUUAUGUGCUUCCUCUCUUCUGCCACGGACCUCUCUCUCUCUCUCUGCCCCUAUACUUGCUUUUAAGUGCAUCAUGAACUUGUUGUUCAUUAAUUUCUUCUUAAGUUUUCUUAAUAAUUUCAACAUUCUUUUCUUGCAGCAUGUGUAACUAUAUAGUAUAUAUAUUGCUCAGCCAUCAAAUUUAUUUUGUUAGAAAGGAAAAACAACUGAAGCAGUGGACCUACAGCACAACACUGUCAGCAACAGGACAACAGAAAAACACCAUCAAUGCAGUUAACAAAGUAGAGCAAAACAGAAAAAACAAGAAAUCAGCUAAGCAAGACAGCACCACCUCAACUAUAAAUAUAAGAUGCUUGGGUCUUUGGCUUAAAAACAUUAAUGAAUGAAUUAAUUGUAGAUGAAGGACACCAAAUAAUGAUUUCUGAUGCAUAUUAAGUGGAGUUUGAAGUUGAAUAAGGUAGGUUACAAAAUUCCAAUAAAAAUAAAUUUAAUCAAACUUGAUUUAUGGAUAUUCACAGAGUUGGGUUCCCAUUGAAGCCCAAAUUGGCAAGUGUAAAGUUAAGUUUGAUAUUUAUUGCCCAUAUAGUCUACUAAUAGUUAAAACAAGUCAAAAAAUCCUGUCGUCAACGCUACCUUCAACAGGGUUUCAAAAAAGGAAACGAUGGAGAUGAGCGUUGGCAGUGCCAACACUGGUGGGUCUCCGACAAAGCUAACUACCGUUGCGAUUGCCGUCAAGAGUGGAAGCGGUAGCAGACGUGCGGUUCGAUGGGUCGUGGAGAAUUUGAAAGCGGAUCGUUUUGUUUUGGUCCACGUGAUGCCAGCAGUCACCUCUAUCCCAACACCAUGUAAGUAUUGAUUACAAGUUUGAUCAAAUAUAUUAAAUUUUAAAAAUGAUAAAAGAAAUUUUGACAAUGAAAGACUAUGCUGAAAAAACUGUUUAUAGCUUUUGCUGCGUUAAAUUGUGUUGGAGAUGAUUACUACAGCAGGAGAUCAAAUACCUAUCACAGAAAUGGAUGAAAAUGUGGUCGCAAUGUAUGUUCAAGAAGUGAAACUUAAGUUUGAGCAAGUCUUUAUACCAUUCUUGAACUUAUUCAAAACAAGCAAGGUGAGUUUUGGCUUCUAUUGUAAAUUUAAAAAUUCUUUUCAAACCAAUCUUGCAAAUGAGGUUUAAAUCGGAUACAUUUUUUCUCAUCUAAGUUUCUUUAAUAAAAUUUGAUUCGUUUUUGGGUAGGUGGAAACAGUGGUGCUCGAGGAUGACUAUCCUGCAAUUGGGCUUCUAAGAUACAUUUCUGAGUUUGGGAUUCAGACUCUGGUAUUGGGUUCUUAUAGUUCCAAUUAUAUAACAAGGUAUGCUUAUGCAGCUGUUUGUUUGCUGGUAAAACCUGAAAUCUAUGUGAAUGUAUGUACUGAGCUUAAUGGCAUCUAUUUAUUUGCAAGUUUUGCUAUAUGAGUUGAAUGCAAAGCUUUUGGAUAGGAAAUAUUGAUUAGCUAGUUUUCAGAUGCAUAUUAGCUUUUUCAUGGCUAUGGAGUAAUCUUCAGCAAUGUGAACUAUAGGAAGUUGAAGGGUCCUGGGGUACCUAAUUCUGUCCUCAAGUGUGCUCCAGAUACUUGUGAUAUUCGGGUUGUUUAUAGACAAAGAAUCAUCACAAAACAAGCUAAUCCCCUAUGGACUAGCGGUAAGAAAUAUUUGUGUCUACGUUGCAGCUUUCUUAGUCAGUUUACUGACAGUCUUGUUUCUGUCUUCCGCAAUCUCACAGGGACCAGUUCCAGUGGCUUUAAGAAACAUAUAUAUGGUCCUAUUAAUGCUUCUGCAGAAUCUACAGCGCAAAACUCCUUUGGGACAGCAUCAUCAUUUGAGCUUAACUACCCAUAUUUACAUGCAUUUUCAUCUAGGGGAUCUUUAACAAAUGCUAGUUCUAUUAGUCACUGUCAUUCAUUGGGUUCUACACAGAGUGAAAAGGUGAGUUUUCUUGGGUUCUACACAGAGUUUUCAUCUAGGGGAUCUUUAGCAAAUGCUUGUAAUUUUGGUAUUCCUCCAGUUUCAUGUGCUAUCCGGAUGAUUUUUUAUACAUGUGGUUGAAUCUGCAGGCUGAAGUGGAACAGCUGCGUCUAGAAUUACAAAAUACUGUUGCCAUGUACAAAGAAGCUCGUGAAGAGCUUGUCGACACCCAGAACAAGGUGACGAAACAAGCACUUGAUAAUGUUCACUUAUCGAUGCUCUUGCAACAAAUUCUACAUUCUUAUACAAAAGGUUCUGCAUAGCCAUUUAUACUUUAAUUUGCAGGUCCGAUUACUUUCUUCAGAAUGCCUAGAGGAAGCAAGUAGAGUGAAUGCUGCUCAGGAAAGAGAAGAAGCAUUCAGAAAAAUUGCUGCAGAAGAGAAAGUAAAACUUUUGCAAGCAAUGAAGGAUGUUGAAGAGGCAAAACACUUGCUUUCUAGAGAAGCUAAUCGAAGGCAGAUGGCAGAACUAAAUGCUCAUAAAGAAUCCUUGGAAAAGCAGAAAUUUGUCGAUGCACUCUUCUGCUGUGACAGAAGGUACAGAAAAUACACUAGGGAUGAAAUCGAAGUGGCAACAGAUUUCUUCUCCGUUAGUAACGUGAUUGGUCAAGGAGGAUACGGGAAAGUCUAUAAAUGUAGUCUUCAUCGCACUCCUGUAGCUGUUAAGGUUCUUCAAUCCGAUGCAUUAGACAGGAAAGAGGAAUUUCUAAGGGAGGUAAGUUUCUGCAGCUUAUACUUUAUAGCUGCAGUCGCGUUAACCAACUGAUAUGUUUUUCCGACAACCAUAAUCUUUUUGAAAAAGAUUGCUCCUACUCUGACCUCUAUGCCUGGAUGUUCUUUUUGCAACCAUAAUAUCGUUACCCAUAAAGUUCAUGAAUUUUUAUGCUAAGUCUCCAUUUUGUGUAUUAAGGGUUAUGGUUAGUUUCUAUUUUCGAUGAAGCUUUUGGAGAAAUGCUCCACAGGUAGCUCAAUGUAUCACUGCAAUUAUGACAUAACAAUUUCUCCCUGAAAUUUGUUGCAGAUUGAAGUUCUAAGCCAGCUACACCAUCCACAUAUUGUUUUGCUUCUUGGAGCUUGUCCAGAGAAUGGUUGCUUGGUUUAUGAAUACUUGGAAAAUGGUAGCCUGGAGGAACAUAUUCUCCAGAAAAGUGGAAAACCUCCUCUUCCUUGGUUUAUUCGGUUCCGCAUAGUUUUUGAAGUAGCUUCUGGACUUGCGUUUUUACACAACUCAAAGCCAGAUCCUAUUGUUCAUAGAGAUUUAAAACCGGGUAAUAUACUGUUAGAUAGAAACUAUGUUAGCAAAAUUGGGGAUGUUGGGCUCGCUAAGCUUAUUUCAGAUGUUGUGCCUGACAAUAUCACCAUGUACAAAGACUCUAUUCUUGCUGGUACUCUCUUCUACAUGGACCCCGAGUAUCAGAGAACCGGCACCGUCAGACCAAAAUCAGAUCUAUAUGCUCUUGGACUUACAACACUCCAGUUACUGACAGCUCGGCAUCCAAAUGGACUUCUACUGGCAGUUGAAAAUGCCAUUAAAAAUUGUUGCUUAGCUGACAUUCUAGACAAGUCAAUUACGGAUUGGCCACUAGCUGAAACAGAAGAAUUAGCUCGAAUAGCAUUAAAAUGUUCAAAGCUUAGAUGCAGGGACAGACCUGAUCUUGACACAGAGGUUCUGCCAAUUCUCAAAAGACUGGUUGGUGUUGCAGAUGCUAGUUUAAAGUUGGGAAAGAGCAAUGUAUAUGCUCCAAGCUACUACUUCUGUCCGAUCCUUCAGGUCAAAAACUGUUAGCAGAACCGAUGCAUGGCUUAAGCACGAUCUUGUAUAGUUCAUUCUCAAUGAUUUUUCUGUUCUUUUUCUUUUUGGUGACACAGGAAGUGAUGGAUGACCCUCACAUUGCUGCUGAUGGUUUUACUUAUGAGCAUAGAGCAAUAAAGGCAUGGCUUGGGAAACACAACGUAUCGCCGGUUACAAAGCGUCAGCUUCAGCAUUCCGUAUUGACUCCUAAUCACACAUUACGCUCUGCCAUACAUGACUGGAAGUCACGGGUGACAUUAUCUACUACGUAAUAUUAAGCAGGUGGCAGUUCCUUUUCCUGGAAGUUACUAGACAUUGUUUCAUGAUGAAAAAGAAGCAUCCAUCUCAUUCCCCGCAACCAAAGAAAUCAAAUUGGAAAAAUGUGGGCACGGGCUUAUGUAUACAACAACUAGAUUUGCACAUAACAUGUGAUUUUUGCACAGCACAGAGUAUGCAUGAAAGAAGACUUUUUUUUUUCUUAAAUGGAAAAGAAGACACUCUUGUAUAAAGACUUUUCUAUUUAUUAAGCUAUCUUUAGAAUAUAAUUCAAAAUGUGAAUACUUAGCAUUAUCAAUUAUUAUAUACAUAUUUUGUAUCCUGGAGUAUUAUCUAUGAAGAAAUCCAGGCUUUGAAUGCUAAAACAUCACAGGCGUCAAACUUGUGUGAACUCUAGUGCAUUUGCAUCUGGAUCUCGUGUAAAUAUUGCUGGCCUCCCGGAUCGGCUAAGUGUGUAGGGAAUACCUGCAAUUUGGAACAAUAUUGCACUAAGAUAUCCUCUUUCUGUUUAUAACCUACAGAAUUGCAUGAGAAUCUGCCAUCAAGGCAAAUUAUUAGCAAACAAUGAGAUAUUGCUUGACAUGGAUGACCCUAGAAUAAGGAAAAAAGGAUUUUACCGGCUUUGUCAAGGAUUGCUUGCAGCUUAGAUACAUCUUGAAUUGAAAUACAAGCAUGACGGUCUCGGCCUCCAUGUUCAGGUCUUCCAAUUAAGGGGUCUGGAUUUGGAAGUUCCAUCAAAUGUAUCAUCUCAGAACCCACCCACAACCAAGCACCUCUGUAUGGAAGCUUAUCAUGUGGCCUAGCCUCAUUUAUUUCAAGACCUAAUUUAACAUUUAGAAGCAGAUGCUCAGUUUCUCUCUUUCUUUCUUGCAAAAAUAAAUCAAUAUCUAUAAUAUGAGUUUAGAAAAGAGAUUACAUACCUAAAAUAUUCUGAUAAAAAUCAAGCGAUCUUUCAAGGUUUUCACAUAGAAUUCCAACAUGGUGAAUACCAACAACUCCAUAAUCUACAUCAAUGACAAUACUUAAAUGUAAUUCCAUCCAAAAUUGAAGAAGCAUCAAAUGUAGGAGAAAGCAACAAAUAUAAUAUACACUUUAUUUUGCUUGUAAAGUCCACCGUAAUGUGGCAAACUGUGAACUACGGCACCAAGGCAACUGCGUUUUGGAUUCAAUUCUCAUCAAAAUGACCCAAAAAGAGAGAUUUUGCAUUCAUCUUGUGUUAUAAACAAAUUAGGAAUGAAAUACAGAUGACAUGUUAAUUUCCUUUGAUGAUUUUAAAUAAAAAAAAAUUCAAAGAUGCUUCAAAAGCCAGAUGAACUAUAACAGGGUUAGAACUGAUGCCAGUUUCAUUCUCCAUAUUUCAGCUCUGAAUAGCUUAAGAGAAACCAUGGCUUCCAAGAUUGUUUUCCCUGAAAUCAGAUAUCUAAUGAGACAGCAAGCAGUUACCUAUCUUGUCACUGAUACUAGCUGAUUCUUUGUCAAGUACAUGUCCUUCAAUUGAACCCGCAGCUUUGGUCUUGAAACUUAACCUUUGACAUCUUCCAUUUCCAGGAAAAGUAUGACAAAUUUUGGAGGGUGUAUUUGCAGAUACGGCACUUGAACGAUUCAACUGGAAACCAAAAGAAAAAGAAAAAGAAAUUGAAGAACAAGGGUAUUCAAAAAAAACCAUCGAAUUCAAGCUUUGUCUCAAUCUGUGUAAUCAAAGAGUCUACUCUAGAAUUCGAAUUGCAGCUCUCCUAACCCUAGGACCAAAUUUUUCAUAUUUCGGUCGAAUAAUAAAUCCCAGUUUUCAAGAAACCAGAGAUUUAUUUAGUAAAAAUAAAAUAAAAUCAGCUCAUCAGCAUACUUCUCAGUCAAAUCUUAAUCACCUUCAAAUCAUUUACCGAAAUUAAAAGUUUUAAUUUAAUGAUAGAAUCUUUUUGGCAGCUAAUGAAGUUACCUUGUGUCGAAGAGAAAUUGCUGCAGAGAGACCGAGAAGAGAGGCCAUCGCUAAGCGUCAAUCUUUUUCUGUUAAUCCGUUCUCGUGUUUCCUUAAUUGUUUAACUUGUUUUGAACCCUCUGCAAGCUUAAACCAUUCAUUUAUCCGUGGCUCAGGUUUCUUCACAAAUGAACAGAAGUCACCACCACUAGUUGAGAAUUGGGGUAAUUCUGCAAUAAACAAAACAAUUCAAGUGAAUUGUGUAAAUAUAGUUAAUCAUUGGGCAUCUGACCAAAACAAAAAGAACCCAAAAGAUGAGACAAGGAAAGCAAUAGUCGAAUUCUCCUUUCAGUCCUUUUACUAUUCAUAUAUUUAAAAUUUAGUCCAUGGCUUGUUUAACUUAAAAUAAUAAAGAAAGUAAGUAUAAAAAUCAAAGGUAGAGAUAUUUAAUUUAGUAGUGAGAUAUAAGAAAAUGAAAAUGAGAAUGAGUGUUGGCUUCUAUGACUAUCCAUGUGGUGGAGUGGAGUCAAAGUGGCUUGUUGGUUGAAAACGUGUAGGAAUCCAAAGUCAUAAUUCACCAUUAAUAAUCAUUGUAUUUGUGCAUGUGUUUUUCAUUUUGCUACUCUCUAUUUGUUGAAUUGAAUAAUUAAUAAAAGUGAUAUAAUAAUCCUCUUGAUUUCAUGCUUGAAACAUGGCAGACAUGGUAGGUAGUACAAGGAUGUUCCCAUUAAUCUAGUAUACAACAAUUCAACACUUUCCCAUUUUCCCAAUUAUGAAUAUACAAUCAACUUUCUUCUUCUUCUUCUUCCACAUUUUCUUGAAAAAAGAAUAAACAUUUAAGUUAUUAAAAUUUAAAUUAAUGCAAUCUAUAGUAACGCAAUUAGUAUCGCGGAAUUAUUUUCAAUGCAAAAAAAUAUGAAUCUAAAUGUAUUGAAUUGUAUAAAAAAUUAAAUUAAUGCCACUACUGUACCACUAGAAAAAUCAAAUUUAUGUUUUCCUUCUCCCUUUUACAUAAAAUCUAUUGGAUCUAAAUUUAAAAAAAAAACAAUUGAGAUUGUUUGUUGCUUUUGGUAUAUAUGGCCAUUUUCAUAAAAAAAUCAUUUAAAAAAGAUACAAGUCUUAUUUUUUUACGAAAGAGCACAUAGAUUCACCAUAGAAUCCGAAUUCUCAAAAAUAAAUUUAAAGUGCAGCAACAAUAUAUGCAAAACAAAAUAGAAAAAAAAAAGCGAUUGAGGUGCACUACAAGCAUAAUCUAGGGGCUUAUAGGCCACAUAAAAAAAGUAUUUGACUUGAAAACAGUGAACAACUACUUUAUUGAUUAUUUUGAGCGAUCUAGGGGCUAUAAAUUUUAUGAUCCCACAAUUGUAAAUAUUUUUGAGAUGGGAAUUACAACAUUUCUUAAGGAUGUUGAGUUUGGAGGGAGAAAUAAGGUUAAAGACAUUGCUUUUGAGGAGGAUUUGGAUUCUAACUCAGUUCCUGCUAUCACUUUUAAUUUGGGCUAACAUUUUUAUGAUAAUAAAUAAUAACAUGUAAUUACUUUUAUUAUAUAUGUGAUAUCCAUAUUUUCCAACAUAAUCACGAAGAAAAGCUAUAGCCACCUUGAAGAAGCAAACUAGGAUGAGCUUAGAGUUGAAGUUGAACAUUAUAUUGCCACAAUACAAUAUAAAAAUUGAAAAUAAAACCAUCGUAGUGUCAUACACUACAAAAGGCGGUUGAUUCCCUAUUCAAACAAAAAAGGGCAAACUCUCGACAAAACCCUUUAACAAUGAUGAGAUGACAAUAAAAGGUUCUCAAAUUGUAUUCAAGCUCAAUUGUUAAUAUUUUUUAUUAUAAUAUUGUAAAAAAGUAUUUCUUAAAAGAUAUUUUUUUCCCAAAAAGAGAGAUCUUGGGAUGUUGAGGUCUAUGUAAAAUUCAAAUAUAAUGAAUUUUCGAUUACCUCGGAUUAGGGAGGGGGAGAGCUUGUCUUUGGAUGAAAAUAUGAGUAUAAAAAUGUCUAUAAUGUUACGUGAGAUUGUUCAAAUUUUUGAAAAUUUUACCGAUCCUCUCCUUAAAAAAUUUAAAAUUUGGUUUCUACCGAAUGAAAGAAAAAUCAUAUUUUGUUUUAUUUGAAAAUAUAUAUAAAUUGAUGGAAAUCAAAUUUUUUCCUAUAUAUAUAUGUUUUUGGCUUGGUGAAAAUUUUAUUUUAUAUUUUAUUUUUAGUGUGAAACAAAACCUAACUAAACCAACUACCUAAAGCAAUCAUUUUCCCUACCAUUCCAAGACUCUCCUAAUACAUCAGGUUCUAAAUUGACUCUUCUGGACAAGUCUGAGUUAUGCACUAUGUUGUAUUGUUUUGCCCAAUUUACUGAAAUCUCAAUGGUGUCCAUAAAAUUCCAAGAUAUACCUUGAAACACAAAAAGAUUCCUAUUUUUCCAUAUGCACCGUACUAGUAAACCAAAAAGAGAAGACCAAUGCACCCCGUUUCCCAACGUCCAACUAGACAUUUCUAGAUUUGAUCUAAUCCACUCUGAGAGAUUUUUGAAAAAAAAAACUAUGGCUGAUAAUUCCUUGGCACAAAGCACUUCCAAACAUUUUUAGUAUUCGGGCAAUCUCUAAGGACAAUGUAAAAUAUCUUCAAUCUCGUAAUGGCACACUGGGCAGGACGUACUUUAUCCAAUGCCCCUUCUACCCGUUCUUAGUUAGUUAGUAGUCUUUGUUUGUAAACGAGCCAUAAAAAGAAGUGAACACGAUGUGGUUCUUUAUACUUCUAGACGACUUUCCACUUAGUAUCCUUUGCAUCCCACAUAUCUGCUUUUAACAUAUAAUAGGCACUUUUAACUAAAAAUCUUCCAUUUGUUGUAUGUACCCAAAUGAUUUUAUCAGGGCCAGCUAGAGGGUAUAGUGGUAGGAUACUUGCGAUCCUUUUAACAACUUCUUCCGGCAAACGUUCCUUAAAAGCCUCCAUAUUCCAUGCUCCAUCCUCUACUACCAUAUCUUUAAAAAAAUAGACCGUGAUAGGCCUGUCUGUGGGAGGGUACAUACAUCUUUAACGGCCUUACUUUUAGGAUCCAAAAAUCUUCCCAACAGCGGACUGAGGUUCCUAUUCCAAUGUUUCAGCACAAGUUUUUCUUCAGUAGUGGCCACACCUUUUUAAUCCCUCUCCAAAUAGCUGAACAACUCCCUCUCUUGAUAUCUUCAGUGAUCCUUUCUUUUAACCUAUAUUUUGACUGUAAAACCCUGACCCAUAAAUCCUCUUUUUUGGUGACAAAAUUAUACCUUAAUUUCAAUAAAAAAUAGGCAUUCUGGUCUUCUAAAUGCUGAAGCCCAAGCCAGCACAUAGGUGAGGUUAGUAUACAAAGCCCCAGUCCACUAGUGCUAACUUUCGUCUACCAAUAUUAGAACCCCAUAUGAAUUGCCUUGCCAAACAUUCAAUCUCUUCACAUACUUCUUUUGGAACUUGCAUAGAUUGCAUAAAGUAAUUUGGAAUAGAUAGAAGGACCGAUUGUGCCAAAGUGAACCUUCUUACCAUAAAGAGUUGUUUUGCAUCCCAAUUGUAUAACUUAGCUCUGACCUUUUCAACUACAAAUGUAACCCCCUUAACCCAUACUUAUCGUCGAAAUAGGUUACGGAGUAUUACUAGAGUUUACAGAAUAAUUACACUUAAUUCAUGACAUUUACUCUUCAUAUCUUAAACCAAUCAUAUUCAAUCAUAUUAUCCCUUAAAUGGACCCUCGAGGCCCAAUUUAUGCAUUUGAAACAAGUCGGGACUAGAUCGGGAACUCAAAGAAUUUUUCGCAAAAUUUUAAAAAAAAUUUUAGAUGUAGGGGACACAUGCUCAUGUGGCCUGGCCGUAUGGCUCACACGGCCAAGUGACACACCCGUGUCCCAAGCCAUGUGGGCAUUCAUUGUGAAGCACACGGUCGUGUCUCAGCCCGUGUCUAUACCCGUGUAACUCUCUGACUUGGGUCACACAGCCAGCCACACGCCCAUGUGCUAGGCCGUGUGGACAAUUUAAUUUUUAAAAUUUAGGUACAAGGGACACACAGCCAAACCACAGGCCCGUGUCUCUACCCAUGUGGAUGAAAAAUAAGUCAUUUUCAGGCUACUUUUCUCACCCAAUUUGCCUUUCACCUACAACAACACUUAAACAUGUUCACCAACUAAUUCAAACCAUUCAAAUCAAGCCAAAUUCAUGUAUUAAGUAUGAUGUAAUAUCACCUAUAUGCAUAUUGGACUUAAUAUGCUAACUCAAUCUUACCAUCAAUAUAACAAUAUGCUUUUCAACACUUAACCAUUUCAAACACAUUCCAAGCAUGAUAAAGCUACACACAAAUAUAUAUACUUUUGCUUCAAAAUAGAACUAUUACAAGCCAUUCCAAUGUCUAGUUCCAACCAAAAUAUUUCUUCAUUAUGCUUAACUUAACUUAUACAUCCCAUUAUACCAAAAGUUAGUUUGUUUUAUAUACCAAGAAGUCCGAGGGAUAGUGUGAUGUGUCUCCGACCAAGUUCCAACCUUCACGAGCUUCCGAGUACUAUAAAAUAGAGGAAAGAAAACAGAGUAAGCAUAUUAUGCUUAGUAAGUUCGUAUAACGGAAAAUCAACUUACCAAUCAUUUAUAUUUAAGAUAAGCAUACAAAAUUCAUCCAAAGAAAUUUGGCAAUUUGCCUAAACACAUAUAAUCUCAAGAAACUUGUUAGUCACAUAUUACAUGUAAACAUCAAGAAUCAAGGAUGAGCUCAUCAUAUAAUAACUUUCAUAUACAUAUGCUUUUCAUUUCAUAUUUCUAUAUAACAUGUGCAUUUCCAUGAAAAAUCAUCUUAAACUCAGUUUAAUCAUGUCAGACUUUACCCGUUGAAUUUAUUUAAAAUAUUGAUGGAUACACAUGUAGUACACUCGAAGUGUACAAAACUGUAAUCUGUCAACUCAUAUACAGGGGUACCCAUUAGGGCACAUAAUCAGGAAGCACUCUCUCGAGCCAUAUAACAGAAAGCUCAUGUGAGCCAUGUAAUAGGAAGCUUAUCCAAGCUAUAACAAGAAACUCAUAAGAGUUUAAAACAGGAAGUUUAUUGAGCUUAAUAGGUAACUCCAAAGAGUUAUUAUCAGGGAGCUCCAGAUAGCGAUAUAAUAGGAAGUUCAAGCGAGUCAUAUCAAGAAACUCACAAAGAGCCUAUAUCGGGAUGCUCAUAAAGAGCUGUGGUAUGUUCGCAUUAUAUGUAGGAUCCAUACCGAUCAUAUAACAGGACGCUCACAAAGAGCUGUGGUAUACCCGCAACACAUGUAGGAUUAAUACCGAUCGGAAUGCUCGCAAGAACCAUGUAACAGGAAGCUCGAGAGGUCUUAUAAUAGGAUGCUCAUAAGAGCUAUGGUGUAUCCGCAACAUAUGCAGGACCACAAUCAAUACGGGAAACUUAUAUCUAUCGAUUAUCAUUUGUUCAAACAGGACUUAACAUUUAUCAUGCAUUUUCGAAUAUUUAAUCACUUUCACAUUCAUGGUAAUUAUACUAUUCACACAUAUAAUACUUAAUUUAAACAUAUAAAUGUACACAACUUAGUUACACGAACUUACCUCGAUAGUUGUUCGUGUUCGUAGGCUACUAAUCCUAUACUUUUUAUUUUCUUCGAUCCAAUUCCGAACUAGGUCUAUCCAAAUCUAUACGAAUGAAUUUAACUUCAUUUAAUACAAUUCACAUUCAAUUCCAUCCAAUUCACAUCCUAGGAAAAGUUAUCAUUUUACCCCUAUACUUUUGAUUAAUUCCAAUUUCAUCCCUAGGCUCAAAAAAUGAAAUUCAUGCAAUUUAAUCCUUAUUCCAAGCCUAGUCGAAUUUUUCAUAUAACAAUAACAGUCCAUGUAUUUCACAAAAAUAAAAAAUUUUCUAUAAAUCUUACAUCUUUUCAAUUUAGUCUCUAAAUCACAAUUUCAUGAAAAGUUCCUUUACAAAAGUUGAUUAUCUAUCAACAACCUUUCUUUUUCUACCAUAAAUUUCAAAUUUUCAGCAUACUCAUCCAUGGAAAAAUUUUAAUGCUUUGCUAACUUUGCAAAUUGAUCCCCAAAAUAGAUAGAUUAGGUUAUUACGAUCUCAGAAAUAUAAAAAUUACUAAAAACGGGACAAGAAUGCUUACCCAAUUAAGCUUGCUUGAUGUCUUUUCUCUUAGCUAGGGUUUCCAUAGAAUAAUUUUGGGGAUGAAGAUGAAAUAGAUGAUAUUUUCCUUAUUUAAUUAAUUAUCAUAUUUUAUUAUUUUUACUUUCCAAUUUAGUCAUUUUUUUAAUUAAAUUUUCAUGGAUGAAUCAUCAUAAAUAUCUACUAACUUCUCUUAAUGGUUUAUUUGCCUUAUAAGGACCUUAAAUUUUGAAUUCCAUAACUAUUUGAUCCUUCUAGCUACUAGAAUUCAACUUUUGUACUUUAUGCAAUUUGGUCUUUUCUAUAAUUAAACAUGAAGUCAGUAAAAUUUUCUUAUCGAAAUUUUCAUACAUUAUUUCUAUCAUAAUGCAGACCAUGCAAUAAUAUUAAAAUAAAAUUUCUUUCCAACUCGGAUUUGUGGUCCUGAAACCAUUAUUCUGAUUUCACUGAAAACGGGCUGUUACAACAAAUCUUAAGGUAGCAUUAGUAAUUCUUUUAUGAAAAAGCGAGAUUCCUAAAUAAGAGCCUAGCUCGUGAACCUUUUGGAACCCCAAAAGCCUAUUCAAUCUGUUACUUAAGUUAUCAUCCACCCUUCAGGAAAAGAACAUAUUAGUUUUUCGUGUAUUAACCUAGUACCUUGAGAAGCUACAAAAUUUAUCCAUGAUGCUUUUGAGUAGUAAACCAUGUUUUAUGUCAGCUAUUGAGAAAAUCACCAAGUCAUUUACAAAUAAAAGGUGUGAUAGGGGAGGUCCUGUCUUUGUUAGCUUAAUAGGAGUCUAUUUGUUGGAGGCCUGAGCUGCUUUGAUGUUAUGCCCUAACCACUCCAUACAUAAAAUAAAUAAGGUGACAGAGGGCAUCCUUAAUGUACUAUUCUUUUUGGUUUGAAUUUCGUUGUGGGUACUCCAUUCCACAAGACUUGCAUUAUGGAUGUUGUAAAUGUAGACAUAAUCACUUUGCGUAAAAAUUCUGAUAUAGUUGUUGCCUGAAUAGAUUUAUCAUUGAAGUCUUAUGAACCUUAUUAUAAGCUUUUCUAAGUUAAUUUUGAUGGUCAAAUACUUUCUACUCUUUCCUAUAAACCCCACCUAUUCUGGUGUAAUAAGCUUAGGAAUCACUACUUUGAUUCUAUUACCUAUAACUUUUAUAACCAGUUUGUAAAGAACAGAACAGAGACUGAUAGGUCGGAAUUGCGAGAUCUCUUCAUGCUGAGAAGUCUUUGAGAUAAGAACAAUGAGUGUAUUGUUUAAUUCUGGAUCAAUAGGCUUGCCUUUGAAAACUUCCUUAACCCAGCCAUAGAUUGUGCUCCCAAUGCUAUCCCAUUGGUUCUGAAAGAAUAUAGCAUGGUAGCCAUCACUACCAAGAGCUUUUAAUAGGGCUAUGUCAAAAGUGCUAUUUUAAUUUCAUCGUUUGAGACUGCUUUCUUUAGAAAGUCGAUGUCACUCUGCUCCAGUUGAAGAAAACGACUGACGGGCAAGUCCCCUAUCCCACUUGGUUUCUCCCCAUACAGCUGUUGAAAGUAGUUUACUGCUUCAAGUUGGAUUUCCUCUGGGUCGUAAAACCAUUCCCCGUUUCUAUUACGUAAGGCAUUAAUGCAUUUUACUUUCCUUCUAUGCAAUGUAUGACUAUGAAAAAACUUCGUGUUUCUAUCUCCCAUUUUGAGCCAAUCGCACAUCGACUUUUGCUUCCAGAGCAAUUCUUCAUGGUUAAGUACCUCCUCAAGUUCCUCUCUUAUGUCCAUCUCCUUUUCAAUUACCGACUCUGAGUUUGACCUCUCUAUUUCCUUCUGAAUAUGACUUAAGAACUGUAGAAGUUUUCGUUUGUGCAUCCCAAUGUGUUCGUAUACAUUCUUAUUCCACUCUUUUAGCCCUGCCGUGAGGUUUCUUAAAGUUUUUGACAUAUCUCCACUAUAACGCCACAUAUCAUUAACAACACUUGAGAAAUUUUGAUGUUGUGUCCACCCAGCCGAAAACAAAAUGGGCGUCCUUUUGGUAGAUUAUUUUAUAUUUUAAAUUCAAUACAGCUACAAUUUUUUAAUGAAAAUAUUUUUUAUAAUUUCAAAAAUAAAUUUUCAAUUUUUUUAUAAAAUUUGUAUAUUAUUAGAAACUUUUUAAAUUUUUUUUUUGAAAUCAUCGUCAAAGAUUUUUAAAAUGAACGCCCAAAUUAGGUAUUAACAUUAUAUAAAACAAGCCAUAUGAUCGUUUUGUUAAGGACUAGAAUAUUUAACAAACAAGUGAUCAAAAUUUAGUCACGUUUUUUAAUUUUUUAUAGCUUAGUGGCCGAAACGAAAACAAAGUAAUAGUUGGGUGAUGCUGAUGUAAUUUACCCAUGUUUCUUUUUGGUACAUGAAUAAUUGCAUCAUAAUGAGAGGUGUUCACGUAGUGGAACGGAACCAUGUCAAGUCAAAGUGUCUUUUUCGUUGAAUUCAAAGCAUAAUUACUUAAUAAUCAUGUUAUUUCCGCAUGUGUUAGAAUUAAUUAACUAAUCAUACCAAGUGAUAUAAUCCUCUUAAGCUUGCUUGGAACAUGACAAACAGGGUAGUUAGUACAAGGUUGUUCCAAUCAGCACUUUCCCGUUUUGCCAUUUUCAGAAAAACACAAAAUGAAAAAUCAAAUUAAUGCAGGACAAAGAAAAAUCAAAUUUAUUUAUGUUUGAUGUUGGAUUGGGGUAUUUGUUUCUUGUUUGUCUUAUUAGAAAAUAUACUUUUUGUAUUUCUAAGGCAAAGUUAGAGAAUGAAGGUUUUUCAUUAAAAAAACAAUGUGGAUUUGCUCAUCAAAAUGAAACAAAAUUAAGGUUCUCCUUUUUUAGAGGUUGUUAGGAAUUUGAGAUUAUUUUAAUUAUACAAUAAUAUUUAAUACGCGUUUAACUAAAAAAUAUAAAUUAAUUAAUGCUUUGUUUGGACAACAUAUUGUUAAUUACAUUUUCUUAUAAUUUGAUGACGAGCUAAGUGUUAUUAUAUCGCAAUUUUCUAUUUUAUUUUUGAUAGUACAAUUUGUAAUUAUAUAAUUAUACAAUUUAUAUAUUUUUUUAAAAUUAAUUACUAUAAAAUAAACAAAAUCUGAUAAAAAAAAUUCUAAACAAGUAACAAAAAUUAAUAUCAAAUAACCAUAUAUAAUAUGCUAAUCCAAGAACAUAAUCAAUAACACGAUUACUAAAAAAAUUGAACAUUAUAUGCAAUUUCAUGUAAUUGCUCUAGCGUUUCAUAUUGUUGGUCUAUCCGCUCUUUAACAUUUAACAUAUAUUACAUUACUCAUUAUCAUCAUCUAUUAAUUGUCUCAUUGAGAUUGCAUAGACCUCUUUUUUUUUUCUUGUACUCUUCAAAGUAUGAAUAUCUCAAUUCUACCUAUGAAUGAGGUUACGAAGUAUGUAACAUGCUAGUACAAUCCAACUUUGUUUUUUUAUGCUCUACUAAGAUGAUUUUUUUUUUAGAAUUACUAAGGUGAUAUUGUUAAUAUGAGAAAUUUUUUUAGAACAACAAAUAUCCUCUAAACCACAUUUCGAAUGUUUAAAUGUCUCCAAUUAUCUCAACCACUUUUCAAAUGUUUAAAUGUCUCGAAUUAAAGAACUCGCAAGCCAUCUCUGGUGCUUGUGUUUGACUUCAUCCUUUUAAAAGAUAUUGUACCCCACAAUAUGGUACAAGAAAAUCUUACAUCUACUACAUAAUAUUUGUGUUCACGAUGCAAAUAAUAUAUAUAGCUUCCAUUAUAAAAACCUAAUUUAGAGAAAGACUUUUGCUAGUUAUAACCCUUUUUAUAUUAUGUAAAUUACUUUUUUUAUUUGAAAUUUAAUCUUACUUUUAUUUCUAGAAGUUUAGACUCUUUACUUUUUUAUUUUAAAAUUUAAACUCAAUUUUUAAUAUUGCUAAAUUUUUUAGUAAAAUAUUUUGAACUAAAAAAAUCCAUUUGAUAAUUAUCGAACAAAAAAUAAUAUUGUAAUGAACCUAAAUUUAAUAAAAGAAUUUUAACAGAAGUUCACUUUUAAAUUCAAAAAGUAGAAAAAUUAAAUUUUUUUUAAAAUAAAAGUACAAAGACUAAAUUCCAAGUGUAUAAAGAAUGUAGAAACUUAAAGCGCAUUUUAACAAUUAAGCUAUGCACUUAAAACUAAUUUAAUUUUACUUUUUUUUUUCUAUUAUUCUCAUAUAUUUAAUUUCACUGCUAUAUUUUAAAUUUUUAACGAAAAACAUUUAACUAUUGAUCUAAUAUAAAAAACUAUUAAAUAUUUGGUACACUAUUAAUGAAGUUUUUAGACUUCACAAGCAAUGUUAUGGGUUGAUAAGUGUCAUAUAGGAGUAUAAUAAAAUAUCAAAAAUAAGUAUUUUUAAAGAAAAGAGACGUGACAAAUUUUUAAGAAUACUUAUGGGAAAAAAAAUACGCUGCCAAUGCAUCAAAUACAAACCCUUAAAAUAUAUAUUAAAAAUAAGAAAAUUAAUCAAGAAGUGUCCUACAGGAAUAUAAAUAUUAAAAUGAAUAAAUAUUAAAAAAAAGACACAUAUCAAAUUUUUAAAACUAUUUGUAGAAUAAAAAAGAUACUACUAGUAUACCAAAUUAUCACCCUAAAAAUAAAUAUGGAUAUAACAAAAAUGAAUUUAUUUUUUACUUGUAUAAAAAUGCAAUAAUUAAUAGUAAACAAAAUUAUUAAACUAUUAGAUUACAACGAGGUAGAAAUAAAUAUAAUAUAUUUACAUUAUAUAUAUUGAUAAUGUAGAAUUGAAGUGUUAGUAUUGAUGCACUCAUUAGAAGGACGUGCCUGCAUUAUACACAUACAUAUUAUAUCUAAAGAGAGUUGUUUAAACUCAAGUAAAUUUAAUGGGUGGAUAACAAUCAAAUCAAUCAAAAGAGUUUCAAUAUAUAUAAUAUGAAAGAAAUUUUGUUGAAAUAGCAAAAUUGAGGAUUUGAAAAUUUUAAUAUUUUAAAUUAUUUUUAAAAUUUUUCUUUGAUGGAUUGAUUAAUUCACUAAUUAAUUAGCUCUUUGCAUAAACAAAUGAUUUUUAUUACCUUUAAAGCUUCUUCUAGACAUUGCACACACAAAAAGGAGCGCUUCUUCUAGACUAGAGGGCCCUACAAUUACUACCUUUUUCUAGAUUUGUAGGUCAAGUAGUUACUUUUCAGUUUUAUUGGCCAAGGAAGGCAUAGGGAUAACCUUAUCCUUAUUCUUUCCUCCCCCUUUGCUUUUGAGUUCAGUUACUUCUCUUUGUCUUCCUACACUUCCCUUUCCCUUUUAACGAACCUUCGCCCCAACUUUCCUUAUGCCCAAACGUCUACUCACUAUACCGAGUAGCGUCAUUAUUUUUAAAAUAAAAAAUAAAAUAAAUUGCACAUGGGAAAAAAAGGUAGAAAGUCAAAUCAGCGUCAAAGGCCACCGCGUUCACACAUGCCCUUCCCACGCGCUUCUCCUUUCUAGCUAACCGUGUGCGCUGAUACGUAUAUAAAGUAAACCCAAAGCCCUCCGUUCCCAUCUCCAAUUUCAGAUCAUCACACUUGCCUUUUUCCCAUUUCGUCAAUCGCGGCAUUCAAUCAAAAGAAACCUUUGUUUAGUUACAUGGAAAUCGGGUCUUUCACAUUUCUUUCUCCUGAAGAUUUUUCUUUUAACAACAACUACAACAGCGAUUUCUCUUGGUUUUUGGAUAUGGAAACUGGGUUCAACGGAAACACCAAGAAGAGGGGUAGAAAAGACUUUGAGGAAUCUCUUGUCAGCGAAAAGAGUGGGUUUGGUGAUAUACUUUCCUCGAUUUUGAUGUUGGAUGAGGAAGCAAAGCAAGAGCAGUAUCAAUGGGUGACUAACCCUGAUCAAGAUAGAGCUUUCUUCCAAGCCAAUUACAAGGGAAAUGUUCAGGAAAUGAAUGGGUAUUUUGAAAACCAGUUUUCUGAAAUGAACCAGUUGGAUAAUUCCAGUAACAAACGCGCCCGCAAAUCUGGUUCACCCGCUGCGGCUGCGACGGUUUCAGCCGGGUCCGAUAAUGUGGGUCCAUCGCAAUCGGGCAGCGGAUCCGGACAGCAAAGGCGGUUAUGGGUAAAAGACCGAUCCAAGGACUGGUGGACUAAGUGUAACCACCCAGAUUUCCCCGAUGAGGAGUUUAAACGCGCUUUCCGUAUGAGCAAAGCCACAUUCAAUAUGGUCUGCGAGGAGCUCGAACCUGCAGUUAUGAAAAAGAACACUAUGCUUCGAGAUGCGAUCCCAGUUCGUCAGCGCGUGGCGGUUUGUAUUUGGAGGUUGGCCACGGGUGAACCGCUUCGGAUGGUAUCGAAGCGCUUCGGGUUGGGGAUUUCAACUUGUCAUAAGCUGGUUCUAGAGGUUUGUGCCGCAAUUAAAACUGUUUUAAUGCCCAAAUUCGUUCAAUGGCCUGACGAAAGCAAAAUGAAGAGUAUCAAACAAGCAUUCGAGUCCGCUGCUGGGAUCCCCAACGUGGGCGGUUCAAUGUACACUACUCACGUUCCCAUCAUUGCACCAAAAGUCAGCGUCGCGGCGUAUUUCAACAAAAAACACACGGAGAGGAACCAGAAAAAUUCAUAUUCCAUUACCCUUCAAGGCGUUGUCGACCAAACCGGAGCUUUCACCGACAUAUGUAUUGGGUGGCCCGGUUCGAUGUCCGAUGAUCAAAUUUUAGAGAAAUCAGCGUUUCACCAAAGAGCCACAAGGGGACAUUUGAAGGACGUUUGCGUCGUAGGCAACAAAGGGUACCCAUUAAUGGACUGGGUUUUGGUUCCUUACAGCCACCAAAACCUCACUUGGGCUCAACAUGCUUUCAAUGAGAAAAUCGGGGAGAUUGAAAAGGUGGCCAAGGAGGCAUUCGCGAGGCUGAAAGGGCGGUGGUCGUGUUUACAAAAGAGAACCGAGGUUAAGCUUCAAGAGUUGCCGAUCGUGCUUGGAGCUUGCUGCGUUUUGCAUAAUAUCUGUGAGAUGAGAAACGAGGUGAUGGAUCCGGAGCUUAAAUUCGAGCUUUUCGACGAUGAGGUCAUCCCUGAUAAUAAUAUAAGGUCCAUGGCUUCCGCACAAGCUAGAGAUCACAUCGCUCACAAUUUGUUGCACCAUGGGCUUGGCGGCCGUGGUACAUCUUCCACUGCUUUUCUAUAGUGUUGAUUUAGGAAUCUUUUCUGUAGUUUGCUUGUUAUUCUUUUGGGGUAUGGCAAUAAAGAUUAUUCCUGAUUUAAUUUCUAUUUAUGGAUUUGCCAACAUUUUUCUAUUUACUUUUUUAAAAAAUUGAAAUUUGUGACUAGAGUGUAUGCUAAGCUAAAUUAAUGUGUUCAAAAUUCGGGUAAAACUGAAAAAAUUCGGUUAACCGAAUUUGGUUAAUCGGUUGGUUAAUUAAAUUUUUUCGGUCGGAGGUCGGUUAAUUAUUUUUUAAUUUUUCCGUUAACAGUUAAUUCGAUUCGAAACUGGUCGAUUAACCGAUUUUUUUAGAUUUAACUGAAAAAAUUAAUAAAUAAAAUUAUAAUAUAUAAAUAUGCCCACUAUUCACCUAAACUCAAGUCUUCUUAAUUUUAUUCCUCGUGGAUCAAGUGAAGUGUAAAUAUUUUUGGCAUUCAAGUCUGCUUAAUAACAAUCCAUUCCUUGACAGUGGUGUAAUUAAAUAGGUGUCAGGCUGUCAGCUAGCGGAACCGCAUAUUUUAGGUAACUUUUAAUAUAAUUCUUUUAAAUGAUUUUGGUGAUUUUUAAUAUAAUGUAAAAAUUGUUGGUAAUAAUUUUGAUAGUAUUUAUUUAGUUUUGGUAAUACUUUCAAAAAAAAAAAAACCUUAGCAAAAAAAAUAGAUUUAAUUUUAUUAACACUUAAUAUGAGUUUGCAUUCAAUAUGUUCAAUUUGCCAUCCGAGUUUUUUUAUCCUUGUUAAAUAUUUGAAUUUGAUUAUAAUAUUUAAUUUGGUAUUUGAAUUUUUUUAUCUUUAUUAAGUAUCUGUAUUUUUUAUUAGAGCAUACAUGUCAAACAUUCAUCGAGUCACAUAAUGAUUUUUUGUCUGGACACUAAAUUAAACAUUAAAGUCAAAAAUAAAUACCGAAUUGAGACAAAAGAAACUAAAGUACCAAAUUGAAAGUGUGAAUUGGUAUAUUAUCGCUUAGUGUGUGUGGGCCUUGUGGGGUGGCCGAGCUGAACAAGUCAGAUUGCAAAAUGGACCUCGGACGCCUUUAUACAAAAAAUAGAGAAGACUAAGCUAAGCUGAGCUAAACUGAGUUGAUGAAGUUUCAUGAUUGGAUAUGAAAAAUUAUUGCAUUUACUAUGAGAAUGAUUAUUUAUAUUACCAUUACAAUUACAUGAUGGCUGAUUAAUUCACAUCCAACUAACUUUUUUUAUUAAUAGCCUUUAAUUUAUCUUAAUUAUUUUUUCUUUUUAUAUCAAAUUGCAAAAAUUUCUCACCUUUAAAUAUUUUCGUUUCAUCUAAAUUUAGCAAUUUUGUCAACAUUUUUAAAUAUUUUCUUUAAUCAAAAUGAAUCUAGUGUUUUAUUUUGAAACUUGUUUAUAUUAAUAUAAAAAUGAUUUGAAUAGAGUUAUAAUUAACUAAAGACAAUAAUUUACUCAAUAUAAUAAAAAUAAUAUUUAAGGCACUAGUCAAUAAAAUAAUCCAAUUAAAUUUCACAAAGAGAAAGACAAGUCCACGAGGCACAAGCUGUCUUAGGUUAGGAGCCGGCUCAACAUAUUUUCUUUUUGUUAUUACCCAAAAACUCCCGUUCAGAAACUCGACAUCUUUGCAUCCCAAGGACAACGAACCAUGGGCAUAAUAGUCAUUUAACUGAACCAGAUUUCAUUGCCGAUCAAAAUACAGGCUCGCUUUCCACCUCCAUGGCCAUGUACGAACUUUCCACUUUCAGUUUUGAGCUUGGAAUCAAUCACGUAAACCAAAAUCGUGUCCCUAAUUUAAACCAUCUAAUUAGCUUGCUAAAAAAUUACACCCUCCUUCGUCACCUCUUCUCGCGAUUCAUCGAAGGUAGAUUUCUACUCACAUUCUUGAUUGCAAGCUCUAGGGUUUUCUUUUUUCUACUUUCUUGAUCAAUUUAUUUUUUUGUUUCUUUGAUUGAGUUUCUAUUUCAGUUUUAUUUUCUAAUUUUCGUUUUGGUUUAAUUGUUAGGGGUUUCUGCAUAUUUGUAUUAGUAUUUUAUUUUUUAUUUUGUUCAAUUGCUGAGGUUCGACGAAUGAAGUAGGAUUGAGAUGUAAACUUGAGGAAGUAGAGGAUAAAUUGGUAAUUUUUGAGCUUAAACUGGCUUUACUGUGUUAAAUGGAGCAUUUCAUUUGAUGAAAUUGGAUUUUGUUGAUUAGUCAAAAAAAAAUGAAGAAACAUUGAGGAAUUUAACUGAGAUAAUAUUUUGUCUCGCUUUUUCUCGUCUGAUUCAAUCUUGGCUUGGAUUUAAUUGAAGUAAGGAAAGUGAAGUUGAAGGCAAUUAUUCGUAUCCUUGUGCCAUGGUAAAAAAUGCUAGGAACACAAGAGCAACGAUUAGGGAAUAAUUCAAAUGGGAAUGCUUUCUUACCGUCUACUAUGAUCUAUAAGUAUCCUCCCUUUGAGAUCACAUUGAGUUCAGCGAGUUAAGUAGUCUUGGUUAUCUUAAGUUAUAAUCUCGGUGAGAUUGAUAUUUAAUUUAUUGUUAUAUAUUAUAUAUCUUUUUAGUCUGUUGCUCAGCUGGAGGUAUAGUAAAAUAAAUGGUAGUGUUCUUCUGCUCGAGUUUGGUUAUUUUGCUGAAAUUUAUUUGUUGGGCUAACUUUUUUGAACUAUGAUUCUAUCUUAAGUUAUAAUGUGUUAAUGAUAUGGUUGUAAAAGGUUUUUCCACACAUAAACCCUGAUUUCUAUCUUUAUAUCAAUCUCUGAUUCAUGAUUCUGAUUCUGAUAUGUUUGUUUUAUUAAAUUUGUGCUGCAGAGAUGGGCAAACAGCCUUAGUAGCAACUUUUGUUUUGUUGCAUGAGAGGUGAUUUACAUAAAGGAGUUAUACAGUUUAGAAACUUAUUUAAAUAAAAGGUAAAUUGAAUUGGUGGUUCAAUCAUGAUUUUACAUUCAUAUGGGUUUUACUGGCAAGUGCCUUAAGUAAACUAUUAUAGUAGAUUAUUUAUUUUAAAUGUAGUAGUUGACUAUUAAUGAAAUGAAUUCCGAUGCAUUGGAGAAAAUAUUACGUAAUAUGAUAACAUUUUUUUUGAAAGUUAAUAUGAUAACAUUGAAGUGUGUCCUUUGGGGACCUUUUUACAAAAGCCUAUUUAUAUUCAAGGCAUUUUAUGUUAUAUUAGUUUGUCUUUAAUUAUUUACUGAGUGUGAGGCUUGUAGAAUACCCUAAAUAUCUAAUUGAUCUUAGUUCUCUGUAGCUUUUGAUUAUUGAGUUAGUGAAGUUAUUGUGUGAUUCAGAGCAUUGGGUAUUGCUUAGAAUUUCUAGUUGAUUGUAUACAUGUGCCACUUGCUAGCCGUUAUAAAGUCAGGCUAAAUUUUAGGAUCACUAAUCUAUUUAAAGUUAGGAUUGAAAAUCAUUUAAUUUGCAAUCUGUAAGACACUUAUAGAUGAAUAUAGCAUAAAAAAAUUGAUCCUCAUAUAUGAGGGGAAUAGAUGAGUAGAUUUUGAAUUUGACUUGCUGCAUGCAGUAAUUCUGUAGCUAAGGAGCGAAAAGGUGCUCUAAUAAGUUCUGUGCUGGUUUAUACAUAUAUUUGAAAUGCCAGUUAGCAGAAGACUGAAAAGUUACCUGGAAGAAAAAAUGAACGUAUCUGUUGGAAGUUAGAGGUUCAACAACCGAAAACUUGACUAUUCAAUGUUUUGAAAAGAAUGUAACCAUGCCCCAUGAAUAUCCAUAAGCUCCAGUGACGUUGCAUAGGGGUUGUUUUCAUUCUACCUGAGGCCACCAAUGCGACUGGAAGAAGCUAAAAUAAAUUCUGGUAGCGGUAGAUGUGGACUGACCACUGAGAUGAAUAUUUAUCUGAAAUGUUUUGUAGGAUGUUUAUCUACUAGGAAAAUAUAUUUGUUGAUGAAUUUUCAGACUAUGAAAUCUGAAGAAAGAAAGACCUUCUUGUAAAGGGUCGAUCUUUUAUGAGAUUACUAUUUUCUCGUCCACUAUUCAUGCUUGGGCUUUGGGCUUUUGCUCAAACUAUUAUGAGUCUCAUUCAAUUGACAUUAUCUUUUUGUGACAGCCAUUUGUACUAGAUUUGUUGUCACCUUUGUUUUCUGAAGGUUUCCUUUUUGUUGUUGCUGUCUACUUGUAUUCACUGCUUUCAUUUAUUGCAUUUAUUUGAGGUGCCUUUGCUAUGUUACUUUUUCAACUAUAUAUAUAAAUCUCUAUAUUUACUAUGCAUCCAUAAAUUAUCUGGUCAUUAUUGAUUUAGUCAUGAAAUUGAUUGAUUUUCAACAUGAAUUGAAAAAGUAAAUUCAAGCUACUGGAGUACCCUUCUCUAACCUUUGGGAACCGCUUUCUUGUAACGAGACAGUAAAAAGAUUAAUGGUACUCGCUGUGGAAGGUGACCAAUGUCAUCUUAGUUCCAUGGUCUCUGAAUUUCUUUAUAACUACUAUUGAUUAUUUAUGACUUAACUUUAAUCUGCUACUUCUAGUUGUAUUUUCUGUGUGUGCAUUAAGCAUAGAACAGUGUGUAUUUUGAGGUAGUAUUGAAUUGAUUUGUUCUAAUAGAUAAUUUACAUGCUUAUCCUUAGUUUUUUUCUCCUUUGCAGAUUAGUAGUCUGUUAAGAGUUUAAAUCAGCCUUUAUGUGCUAUUGUUCUACAAUAUUGUAAUGCACCGCUGUAUUUAUUGGCCUUAUAAAAUUGUGGAUUUGCAAAAUCUGAUGCAAUGGCGAUGUCCAGCAAGUCUGAUCUGUCUUCUGGUAGCCCAGACAGGCCACUGUAUACCAGUGGGCAGCGUGGAGCCCUCUUAGCUGCUCAAUUAGACAGAUCUGGUAGCUUUCGUGAGACCAUGGAGAAUCAGAUUCUAUCUUCUCUUCCAAGCAUGUCAAGAAGCAGUUCAGUAGCAGCCCAAGGAGAUGUAUCCAGCUUCUUCCAGUGCUUGCGUUUUGAUCCCAAGGUGGUUGCUGCUGAUCAUAAGUCUAAUCGUCAAGGAGACUUUAAACGGCACAUUAAUGUUGCUCUUGGAAUUUCUGCUGAUGAAUCUACUACCAUGUUGUCAAAAGGCAAGCUGCUGCCUUCUCCUAUUCCAGAAGAAAUCAAACGAGUUAAGACUGGUCUACGUGAUUGUUCAGUCAAAGCAAGGUAUUCUUUAUAAAUUUUGCAUUUUAGAUCGAAGUUGUCAUUAGUUAUUAAAGUGAAUCAGUUAACAGGGAGCGCGUGAAAACUUUCAAUGAAGCCUUAUCAGUAUUCAACAAGUUUUUCCCUAGCAUACCAUCUAAGAAGCGAUCUCGAUCAGAAAGCUUUUCUAAUGACCGGCCUAAUGCCUUGUUAUCUGGUGAUCGGUCAGUCUUGGGCCCUACCAUUGGUAAGAUGGGAAUGCAUAAUAACUCUGUUGCUGGAGGUUUUGAAUUUGAACAGCAGAAGUCUGAGGAAAGGCCUAAAAGUACUAUUCCAAAUAAACGUACUCGGACUUCGUUGGUGGAUGUGAGGGUUUGUAUCUUUGAUAUCUUCCAUCUCUAUUCAUUUCUGUCUUGUUAAUAUUAUGAUUCCAUAUCUGUUAUUAGGCCUGAUAUAAGUUGUUCGUAAACUUACUCAAUGGCUAUUUUAUUUCAUGUGCCAUAUUCAAGUUUGAUCGGGUUCAAAAAGUGCCAAGUCCAAAUGUAAUUAUUGUUGUCACUACUGCUUCUCUUAUUUCUUCUCUCUGGUGUUUCCUUCAUUUUUCUAUGCUAGUAGUUGAUUCUUUUCCAUUUGUCACUGAACCCAAACCACACUUCUUUCUUUUGAUCCAACUUGUGGUGGUGGGUGGUUUGUUCUCUUUAAUCUUCCUGUUCAAUUGAUUUCCUUUGCAUUUCAAUCAUUAAGUUAGUACGUAAGUGAGCUCUAGGAAACCUGUUUUCUGUUACAAGAAUCUUCAUAACUUUCUCUUUUACACAAGCAGUAAAAUCUAUAUGGUUUUACAUCUCAUAUUCUUACACUUCUGCAUAGUUGUUAUAUCUUUGGUCUCAUCUUGGUGGCUUGGUGCCCAAUUUGCAUGUGGCUCUCCUUUUUUUGCAUUAGUAUCUCCUGAAGAGAAGAAUUGACAUUUGUUCUAAUGAAUCUAGAUGGAUAUGCGGAAUAAUGCUCUAGUCAGGCAGCCUGGUAAUGCUGAUAGAGAUAAGGAAAUGCUCAGGGUUUCAAAUAGUGGCUCAGUUCAGGGUGAAGAUCGAACUUUAUCAGGCAGUGUUGAUGGAUGGGAAAAGACAAAGAUGAAGAAAAAACGUUCUGGGAUAAAACCUGAUGUAUCUCCAAGUAUGGUAUCAACUAAACUUGAAGGGUAUCGAGAAUCUAAACAGGGAAUACAGCAAAGGGCUAUUUCUGAUGCUCGAUCAAGGUUAAGUAAUGACUCCCAUGGGUUCAGGUAGGUCUGCUGAAAGUACUAUUAUUGUGCAUAUGCCAAAUGGUUAUUAUUUGAAUCUAUUUUUCUUCGGCUCUUCAUUUUUGUUGAAUUACUUGUGUCUGAGUCCAUAUAGGGAUAGGACCUCCAAGGAUCCUACAAAUAUAUGGAAAAAAUUAGAAAAAAUUGACUAUACCCAUGUUAGACAAGUACCUGUGUCUGACACACUCAACUUUGAGUAACAUAGAUCUGAAUGCUUGCCUUAAUAAAAUCGGUUAAGUGCAUGCACAUGGGGUGCUUGGAGGAGAACCACCCUUGAGUAUUUUAAAUUUCAUGCUUGUUUUCAUUCGAAGAUUUUACUGUAACUUUAUGUUUUGGUCACUCAACUUGAAAAAAUUACAAAAUGGUCACUGAACUAUUCCGAAGUUUUCAUUUAAGUAUCCGGGCUGUUAUAAUUACUGCUGCAUUAGUAACUUUAUGUUUUGGUCACUCAACUUGAAAAUGUUACUCACUGAACUAUUCAGAAGUUUUCAUUUAAGUCACAGGGCUGUUAUAAUCGCUGCUGCAUGGCCUUCUUUGUUUGCACUGCCUGAACCAAUCGACUUGAAUAUAAGGCGUGUUCAUGGGUAUUGAUCCAUCGUACUGAUAGUCAAAUCGUUGCUUAGAACUUGUUAGUUGGACUUUCUUUUUUUAAAAAAUAAACAACCCAGUGACUUAAAUAAAAACUUUCGAAUAGUUUAGUGACUUAGAAAAGUUUCAAAUAGUUCAGUAACUAUUUUGUAACUUUUUGAAGUUAAGUGACCAAAACGUAAACUUACUAAUAGUUUUAAGUGGUGAGAUAUGAACCUUUGAUCACUUACCUUUGCAUUAUUGGCUAAAGCAUUGAGUCAAAUCCAUUAUUUUGUUAAAUAUUUACUAUAUUCAGUACUUAUUCAAAAUCAUGCUUCUGAUUGUAGUAACCCUCUUUGAUUGGAUCGCCUAGUUGAAGUGGUUGAAUCUAGGGCCACAUCAGUUCAACAUCCUGUGUGGUUUUAAAAAAUUGACUUGAUUCCAACAGAUUAUAAUCAAUACUUCCAGUCCACUGCCAUGAGAUUUGUGGGAAUAAGGGGCUUGAAUCAUAAUAAUGAUUGUGUUAGCAGGUUUUGUCAGUAUUCUGUUAUAACAUAAUUUAUCAGCUGGAAAUGCUAUCUUUCUUCAUCUUUGUUUUUAUUUGCUAUGCUGUGGAGGAUAUACUGAAUUAUAGAUGUCAAGCUUAUAUUUUAAGCUUCCGAGGUUCCUUUUGAUCCCCCUUCCAGUUGUAUAUUUAUUUUUGAGUUUCUGUUUUAUUUUUAGCAUGGUGUUAAUGAUAGUGCUGGGGUGAGUGACUAUAUUUUUGGUAAGCCUAUGUUCUUUCUUUCAUGUUCAUUUAUCUGUUGUAGCCACACUUUGUAUCCUAUGCUCUAUUGUCCUUAUUUGGCAUGCUGUUUUGGUUCAGAUCUAACAUGAUCUGGGGGGUUAGAUUAAGCUGAGUUGCUUAUGCCUUUAGUGCAUAGGACAUCUAAACUAACACCUUAAAUGUGCAUUUACAGUUGCAAAUAUUUGAUGUCAGAGCCACUAAAUUUUCUGAACUGUGUUUUAGAUCUGAACAGUAAACCAUAUGAUUUAAACCAUUUUGAAAAAUAAUGCUUGAGAGGUAACUUCAAUCUUGAUUUGACUUAUCUUCUGAUUAAGAUCCAUGUGUAUGAUUUUCAGAUGCAUAAAGAAAGAAAUCUUAUUAGGGCCUUUGCUACAUUAUAGCGAGAUGUAAUUUCCUUAAUAGAUGAUCAUAAUGGUGGCUGUAUGGAAAUUUAUUAGGGAUUUUCUUGUUUGAAAAUUUCUUCAAACCUUCUACUCGGAACAUUUUGUGAAUUGAACCUUCGUUUUCGUUUAUUUUUAACAUUUUGAUGUAUCGUAUUCUUGAUUUUCUUUUAAUAACUAUAAAUUGUUAUAGGUCAGGAAUUGCUAAUGGAUCUGUUGGGGUUGGAAAACCUGAAGGCAUCUCACAGCAGUCAGGCUUGGGUCCAAGGUCAUCUGUUCCUAGGACUGACCCGGACACUAUUUCCCUUCUCAAUGAUAGGAGGGACCGUACUGUUGCUUCUGAUAAAGAGAGAGUGAAUCUCAGAGUCUCUAACAAGUAUGCUUAUUUUCUUGAUGAAUAUUUUGUUUUCCAUUUUUUAGCGUAAAUUUCUCUGUACAAUUUGCAUUUUAUAGAGCCUUUGUUUUUGUCAUUUGGGGCAUCUUUAUUUGAGGCACUUGGAGUACUUUUCCUUUUUGGGCCAUACUGCUGUAUGCAUACUUAUUUGUAUAUCCUUUCUUCUGUACAAUGAGCAGGAUGAGUGUUCGUGAUGAAUUUAAUUCAGCCAGUCCUACUUCAAGCACAAAAAUGAAUGCAUCUAUUCGUGGUCCACGAUCAGGCACUGGAGUUGCACCAAAGUUGUCACCAGUCGUUCAUAGAGCAACAGCAUCAAAUGACUGGGAGCUUUCUCACUGUACAAAUAAACCACCUACUGCUGGUGGAGCUACUAAUCGCAAGCGCACAGCAUCAGCUCGGUCUUCAUCACCACCUGUUGCCCAUUGGGCCAGCCAGAGACCACAGAAGAGCUCCCGUACUGCAAGACGAUCAAAUAUUGUUCCUUUUGUUUCAAAUAAUGAUGAAACUCCAUUGGAUACUGUGUCUGAUAUGGCCGGUAAUGAGAUUGGAUCAGGAUUUGCUAGACGCUUCUCAAGCAGUUCUCCACAACAAAUUAAACUAAAAGGUGAUGCCUUAUCUUCGGCUACUCUUUCUGAGAGUGAGGAGUCUGGGGCUGCUGAAAUUAAAUCUAAAGAAAAGGUGAAAAAGUCUGAUGAAAUAGAUGAGAAAUCUGGACAGAAUGUUCAGAAAGUAUCCACAUUGGUCUUGUCAUCAAGAAAGAAUAAGCUGAUGACUGGAGAAGAUAUUGGAGAUGGUGUGCGUCGACAAGGGAGGACUGGACGGGGUAUUACUUCUACAAGGUCUCUUAUGUCAAUGACAGUUGAGAAGUUUGGCAAUGUGAGAACAGCAAAGCAGCUUAGAAGUGCCAGGCUCAGCUUGGAUAAGACUGAAAGGUUAAAAUUUUCCUUCCUACAUGACCACAUGAUACCUUCUCUCCAAUAAUAUUUCUUUUAUUGUGGUCUAGAACUGUUAUUCUUUGUGAUUGAAAUCUCAUAGUUUCAUGAAUAUUCUCUCAGCAAGGCUGGUCGUCCUCCAACUAGGAAGCUCACUGAUCGCAAGGCCUAUUCACGCCAGAAGCAUGCGGCAAUGAAUGCAGCUGCAGAUGUUCUUGGUAGUUACACUUAAAACUAAGAAAUUUACUUGGAUUUUAAAAUAUCCACUCUUAACAAAAUUUUCUGAAGUUCUAAAUCUAUGAUUACAUAUACAUGGCUUCUAACUGCCUUUGGUACAUUUUUUUAGUUGGUUCGGAGGACGUGCAUGAAGAGAUAGUAGCUGCUGUAAAUGCUCUUGUUGGUUCUGGUAGUGUCUUCUGAAAUAUUUGGUCAUUUUUUUUGUUUAAGUUUUGGAUUCCUUUUUUUAUUUGGUUUGAAAUUUCUACUCGCAUUGGUUGAUUUUACUUGCAUUGCAGCCCAUGCAUUUCCCAACUCCUUUUGGAGGCAGAUGGAGCCUUUUCUUGGUUUCAUAUCUGAUGCAGAUAUUGCCUAUUUGAAGCAGCAGGUACCAGAACCCUUUAAUAUAUUCCCUUUUUAAGGAAUAAAAAAAUCAUGGGAAAAUAUCAUUGGAUUAAAUAUUUAUUGAAAUGCUUAAUAUGAAUUAGUGGUUGCAAUUUAUGUUUCUUUUUGGCCACGGUGGGUGAAAUUUUUCAACUAGGUAGGGGAGAGGGGAAUUGAACUUAAACCUUUAUCCUCCAUUUCCUCUAGGAGAGGCAUGGGUUCUUGCCUUUAUUUAUGUUGUUAUCAAGUUUUGAACAAAGGCAUGAGAUAAAUAAGUUCCUCUUGACUUGCUGAUUUAUGUUAGGCAUUGAUGGCUAACCAUGUGAUUAAUUUUCAAGAAUUCAUCUCUUAUUUUAUUUUGUUAUGCAAUCCCAAAGUUACCUUUUCAAAAUUACUUAUUUAACAUUAGAUAAUAUGUAUUCUCUUCAACCUCAUCCUUGUAACACUAUCUUUUCUGAAUGCACCUUUUUUCGUGAAUAGUUAGAAGCGCCUUGUUUCUUAUUGAACUUCCAUCAAUUAUUUUUGGUACUCAAAUACAUCAUUUCACAAAUAUUUUGGUCUCUCUAAACUGUUUCAUAUCUUUCAGGGAAAUCAUGAAACAAGACCGGGAUCAACACCCCUUCCUUCUAUUGCAGAUGGUUGUAGUACCAUCUCCAAUGGAUGUGGAUUGCUUGAAAAGGAAAGAGCUGGCAGAAUUGCUGCUGUAACAUCAAAUGAUGAACUCCUUUCACAGCAGUUGCUUUUGGAUAAAAGGGACAAUAAUCUGAUACCCCUCUGUCAGAGAUUUUUAGCAGCUCUAAUUCCAGAAGAAGAUAGUGACAGUGGAAAUGAAGACCUCCAAUUUGACAUCUAUGGAGCUGGAUUUCAGAUGGAUGGAGAAUUGGGAUCUAAUGGUUUGAGACAUAUCGUUAAUUUCCAAUCUCCUGAGCAUGCUUCUUUUAAUGGUUAUAGGACAUCUGGGAAGCCAGAAUGCGAUGAUCCUGAAAUUGAUAUGGUGGGAAAGACAGGAAUUAGCUCAACUUUUAGUCAUUCCCUGAAUGGCACAUUUCUAGACAAACCAAUGCCUGAUAUGGUUUGUUCAGAAUUUGAGUACGAGGGUAUGAAGAUAAAUGAGAAAAUCCUUUUGGAGGCUCAAAGUAUCGGAAUCUUCUUAGAACCAAUGGUUGGUCUACUUCUACAUGAAUAUUUAUAUUAAAUGCUGCAUUAUCCCUAUCUUUUGAUAUUAUUUCAUCCAACAUUUGGCAAUUAUCUCUCUUGCACUCUUUGUUGUUUCAAAAUCAAUAUCAUGAUAUAGCAAUCUGAUCUCCAUUUCCUUCAUUAUCUGAAUGGUUGGUUGUCAAAUAGUGCAUGUAUGUCCACGACAUCUCAUUAUCUCAAAGGGCUUGUUUUUUCUGACUACUGUUAUGCUUGUGUGUCUGGUUUGUUGUAUUUCAGCCUUGACAUUAAGAUUGUUAAUGUAUUUAACUUUACGUAUUUCACUCUUUUUCAGCCUGACAUAACACAGAUUGAUGAUGAUGAAAUCUGUGAGGACGUUAGUAAGCUAGAGGGGAAGCUUGAUGAGCAGGUAGUUUCUCAAAGGAAUCAUUGAGGCUCUAAUAUGUAAUCUUGUAUUUAUAUUAUCUUUUUUCUUCGCAGUAUUGUUUUCACCUGUAAUUUUAUGAUAAUUGCCUUUAGAUAUUCAACGAUUUCUAUAUUUCUUCCAUGCCACGCCACUAUGUUUAAUUGUUGGGCUUUCUAACAUAAGGUUUAAAACUUUUUCUGAGAAGUUCAAUUUAUAAUUUUGAUGUGAAUGCAAUAGGUUUCAAGGAAGAAAGGCUUGCUUGAUAAACUGUUGAAAGCUGCCUCAGAAACAAGAGCAUUUCAGGAGAAGUAUUGUUUAUCCUUUCUCUCCAGAUAGUUUUGUAUUCAUUUUCCUUUUAACAUAAAGUCAUUGGUACCUGGUGUAUGUAUAAACAUAUAAUUUUUUAUAUAGGGAAUUUGAACAACAUGCUCUUGACAAGCUUGUUGCGAUGGCUUAUGAAAAGUACAUGGUAAUUCUCCUAAUAUCCAAUCUCCUUUUCGUUUUGGUUUUCAUUUGGGCACACCAUAAUGAUAAUGUUUAAUAUCUUGAAUGCACAGAACCGAGUCUGUACAAAAGCCCUUUAACAUAAGGAUAUAGAAAACCAAUCUUUAGUCUAGAAUAAAGUCACAGGAUUUCAAGGAAAUAAUUGUCUGGCUGGACUAAAACUAACAAAGCAAGAAAAAAAUGGAAAUGGGCAGGUUGACUAUAUUAUUAACCUUAACUGAGUCAAAGUUGGUGAAAAUCUUCUAUAUCACAGGAGUGAACUACCUCCUAUUGGAUAGUUCAAACUCCUUAAAAUAAUCAGAUAGUGAAGAGACAACAUCUCAAGAUGGGUCCUGAAAAUUCUUUUGGCCGUUAUCUUAGCUCAAGUGGAUAAUGCUUCUCUAGUCCUCCUUAUCUUAUUUCUGGAAUCUGUUUUGACUCUGAGUGUAUGUGGUUGAAAAACUGAGGUAGUGUACUUUCCCCUCCCCCUUCCCAGUAUAUAUGCUUAGACGUUCUCAAGAAUCUAUUAUUUUUUAACCUUGAGUAUCUGGGGUUUGGAUUUUUUUUACAAGCUCUUUGAAUAAUUUGGCCAUCAGAGCUUUAGCUAAUAACUCUUCUGUUCUCUCUUUAGCUACAUAGAUGACAAAGAUAGUUAAAAUGCUAAGAACUGAAUGGGUAGUUGGGGCUUUUUGUUUCUAAAUUUAUAUUAUAAAUGGAAUAUUGUCUCAAGUUUGAGUUUGCUUCUAGUUUUUCUCCCCUCUUAGAUCUUCUUACCAAGGUGGAUAAAUUUGCUUGGUUUUCUCUGUUUAUGUUAUAGCUUUUCAUUUUCCACUGAGAAUUUUUCAGUAUCAUGCUGGUGUUCUAUUUUUGACAAUUUAUCCAUUAUCUUUUAAUAGAGUUGUUGGGGUCCUAAUGCUACUGGUGGGAAGAGUUCCAGUAACAAAAUGAUCAAGCAAGCUGCCUUAGCAUUUGUUAAACGAACAUUAGAUCAAUAUCAUAAAUUUGAAGAUACAGGCAAGAGCUGUUUUGAUGAGCCCUUGCUUAGGGACAUUUUUGUUUCUGGAUCUUCCCGGCUAAAUGGUGCACGACCAGUAGAUACUCCUACAGAUGGCGGCGAAUCUGGGAAGCCAUGUGCUUACAGCUCCACCCAUUCCCUGGAAGGUAGAACUUCAGGUAUUUACUGUGGUGCCUAUGGAAAGACCGAGAGCAUACACUUUAAUUCCUUCAUGUCUAGUUGCGUCUGUUCAUGUGUGUUCCAUCCCAUGUAAUGUAAUCAUCUCUAAGAUGUUCUUCAUUGGUACUUUUUGCUCUGUCUUCUCACACAAAACAACUCUGGCAGGUCAAAGUGGGGAUAGCUAUGCUGUUGAUCUGCUUCCACCCACAAACCGAUUAUCCGACCAAACCACUAUUAAAGAUGACUCAUGGUCUAACAAGGUGAAAAAGAGAGAGUUAUCGCUGGAGGAUGUAGUUGCUGGUACUAUUGGUGCUUCUAGUGUUCAGCCAGGCAUUGGGAGUUCUUUGUCAAGCAGUACAAAAGGAAAGAGGAGUGAGAGAGACAGAGAUGGAAAGGGACUUGGUAGGGAGGUUUUAUCUAGAAAUGGAACUAAUAAGAUUGGUCGACCAGCAUCCAAUGCUAAGGGGGAAAGGAAACUAAAAAUAAAGCCUAAGCAGAAAAUGACUCAACUAUCUGCUUCUGUGAACGGCAUUCUUGGUGAGAUGUCAGAGCACCCCAAACCAUCAACCUCCAUAUCAAAGUCAAAUGAGAUAACUAUCAAUAAUAAUUCCAAAGAAAAAGAUGAUUUUGGCCUGGAUGUACUGGAUGACCUGCAGCUACCAGGACAAGAUUUGGGUUCAUGGUUAAACAUUGACGAUGAUGGAUUACAAGAUCAUGAUUUCAUGGGCCUUGAAAUUCCCAUGGAUGAUCUUUCUGACUUGAAUAUGAUGGUUUGAGUUUGCUUUCUUUGUAUAGUCUUGUUCAUUAUACCGUUGACAAACAAAAACAUAAUCACUGUCAUCAAGAGAUUACUGUUACAUGGAUAGUUGCUUGGCUGUCCGGUCCACAAUUAGGUUACACUGAUUCUUUAUAGACUCCCCCAGAAGUUGAUUUUCAAGUGAACCCAUUUGGAUAUCUUGAAUUUUUCUCUUAAGUUGAUGACUUCGACUGUAAAGAUCUUUUGUUCCUACUAGUAUGUCUUAGCAAAAAUGUAUCCUGGCUGUAGCCUUUACAAAUCAGAAGUAAUGCUCAGAUUGUACAUAAAAUUUAUAUUCUCAAUAAAAUUAGUUAUUUUUGUUCAAUAUAAUACCUUAUAAACGUAAUCUUGUAGGGUUUUCUUUCCUGGUUUUCUGUUUUCUUGGUUUUCAUUUUCACUUGCCAACUGCAAUGGCCGUUCAAAGUCAUAUGGGAUGUGGUAAUUUCUCCUGAGGUUUGUGUAUGAAGAAAUUUCUCUUCUAAGGAUAAGAGGUAAGAAUGUUCAAUACAAGAAAAAGAUGAUUUGUGAUACUGACGGGGGACUAUUAGUUCUGUAUUUUUUCCUAGGUUAAUACUUGAAGUUGCAGGUUCUCACUAUCAGCUGCAUUUAUUAACUCGUACUAAAAAGUUGUUGCAUCAAAAUUGUGCUUCUCUUUACUGUGCUUCUAGGGUACUGACUUCUCACAGUGUUACAUGCACUAGGUUAUGCUUUAAGUCAUUAUUUGUAAUCAAUUUUGCAUUGCACUCUUCUAUAUCUCUCUCUCUCUCUCUCUCCACCUUUCUCCUAGUAAGAAAUCUAAAAUGUUUGCAGGUAAACUGCUCUCUUGGAUUUCCUGAUUGAAAGACCUAUAUACCUGGGAUUCAAUGCUAGAUUGCCAUCUGCCAUGUUCUGAUAAACCUGCAUUGCCACUGAGGUAACCUUUGUCUAGUCUUCACCAUAAACCUUUCCAGGCAUUUUAUAUUUUUCUUUACAAUUAUUUUUGCAAGAGAAAAUAUCUACAUUCUUUAUUUUCGUUCUCUUAGGGAAGGCGAGUCAUUAUUUCUAGGACAUUGUCUAAACCUUGGCAGUGCUCAUGUUAUGUAAUGUUCAUCCCCUGCAGUUUAAAGCUUACAUUUGAUUUAGUUUUACAUGCAUCUCAACUUGCUUUAUAUAAAAAGUUUGAUAUAUUGGAUGGGCACAUAAGGAAUCUUGUCAUGUUUGUAUUGAGACAUAAGUUCUUUAUGUAAUUUCUCCUCUAGGAAAGUAGACUUUAGGCUUGAGUAUACGUUUGCUUUAGUGGCUAUCAUUGUAACUCAAGCUGCUUGCUGGUAUUUGGUUUAAUUGUUCAUAUAUUGGCCUCUUCAGUUAUCAUGUUUAAGCAUUGCUGAAUUCAUUAGAAACUUGAGAUUCUUUUGCGUAAAAAUUGCACACCUUGUUUGGUUACCACAGUAGGGCGAAAUGAUUCUGAGGUGCUUCUGGUAUUUACUUGUUGAGAACUUUGAUCUGGCGUCCUGCUUUGCAGUGCUUCUGAGUGUAUGGUUAGGGAUGACUAUCGUUUUUAACUAAUUUUGUUCAGUUUCUUGGAAUCAUUCCUGUAUGUCGUGGUUUGAAAAUCAAGUUGCAAAACAAAAGAAAUUGUUCCUGUAUGAUGUGGUUCGAUAAUCAAGUCGCAAAACAAAAGGAGGAAAUUGUGGAGGUUGGGUUGUUUCCUUUGUUCAUUCAUCAUAUUAGUAACUAAGCAGAGACUGCCCUCCCAAUUUGCAUUCAUAUGACCUUUAAAUAUUUAUAAAAUUUUCCUUGGAAAAGAAAUCGACCCUGACAAUUAAUUGUGAGCCUGUUUCUCAGUUCUGUUUAAGCUUGUAAAGGUCUAGUUAUGCUGGGAAAUUCUGCUGCGGGGAUGGAAAUAUACACUCAAGUGUUUUACCUUGAAAUACUUGUGUAUUGAAAUGCAGGGAAGUUUCAACCAAUAAUAUGUGGGCUAUAUUUUGCAUUUUUGUGGUUGUCAAGUAUUAAUUUUUUGGUGACUGAAUUAAAAAAAGGCCCAUACUUUGUACCUGCAAUCGUUAGUUCAACGCAGAAUUGAGCCAAUUGCGAUGAUUCAAGGGCAGAUUUCUAUCAUACAAAACUUCCAUGACAUUGUCUGUAGACCACAAAGCAAGACAUUUUUCCAUACUUUAUUUCUUAGGAAUCUUCUCAUUUGGUUACUGUAUUAUUAAUACAUGUAUUACAAUAGUUAGAUAUAAAAUAAAAAAUAAUUCCUACAAAUUUAAGCUUGAAAUUAGAAAGAUAAGUAAAAAUUCUUGUCUUUUUAUUGCUAAAAGUAAGUCGUGAAAAUAGUUAAAUAUCAUUAAUUGAAUUAAUUUAUUACUAACUCAUACUAAAAUAUGUGCUAAAACAUGUGUAAAAAAUAAUACUCUUAUUAUUAAUGAUUUUAGUAAUCUUUAAUGUAAUUAAUGCUGCACCACUGAUGUGGCUGUUAGCUUGAUGGUAAGGAUUUUGGAAUUUAUUAUAUUUUUCAUGUCAUUUAUUUGAUAAAAACUAAACAAAGUAAAAACCAAUUCCAUCUCUAGUAAUCUUUUAGUUUUUCGUCGUCGGAUUUGCUGGCGGUGUCGUCGUAUUCUUCUUCUUUCGAACAAACCUUUCUUGUUUUUGGGUGAGUAGCUCGUCUGUCACCUCCUGUUCUGAACGUAGUUCGUUGCGGCCAUGGACAGAGAAGCUGAGGUGGAAAAAACGGUGCAAUAGUGGGAGUGGAACUGUUGCAGAAACGGAGCUGGGAAUAGUGUUAUAUUUGCUCUUCAGUUUUCAAACAUAUAAAAGUUUCACUAUGACCAAUGUUUUCCAAUUUGUGUGCGGGACAAGAGGGGAAAAGAAGAAAAAAAAUUGAAAAUCAACAAGAUGGUAAGUAAAGGGACCAAACGGAGCCGUUUGAAAUUCCGUCACAAUAAAACAAAUUUAAAUAUAGCUGGUGGAAUACAUGUCAUGGAUUUAGAGAGAUUUUUAUAUUUUUGUUUGGUAAGCUUCUGCUUUGCAAAAUUUUUAAGUUUGAUCCAUUCAUGCUUCUGGUAAUAUUGAUAUUCUCUAUGCAGGUGUGGAUUUAUCAAUUUUGCUAGUAAUAGGAAAUGUUUAUGCUGCCAAGAGGCAUGGCUCAAGAGAUUGUUAAAUCUUGGGGAAUGGGAAUGCCCUCCGUAUGUUUCUCUAUUUCCAGCUCCGCAACGGUUCCGCUCUCACUGUCGUACCAUUGUUUUUCACCUCAGCUUCUUUGUCCAUAGUCGAAACGGACUACUCUCGAAGAGGAAGGUGACGAACGAGCAACCUGAUCAGAAAGAAGUGAGGGUUGUCAAGAAGAAGAAGAAUUCGGUGAGGCUCCUGACGAGUCUAACGGCGAAAAAAUUGUUCUGGCGAAGGUGAUUGAGAGGAUUAUUAGAGAUGGAAUUGACUUUUAUUUUGUUUUGUUUUAUCAAAUAAAUGACAUUUAAAUGUGUUAAGGAUAUUAUUAUUAUUAUUAUUAUUAUUAUUAUUAUUAUUAUUAUUGUGGGAUAUCUUUUAGGAAUAUUUAAAUAUAGACAAGAAUAAGGUAAUCUCAUUUUAUUCAUAAACCUUAAAUGUAUACAUAAUAUUUAUAGGAAAGAUAUAUAAUAUAUUCUUAAAUAUAUGCCUAAAAGAUAUAUAAUAUAUUUAAAAAAGAUAAUAUCCCAUAAUAAUGUAUUCCUUAAAUAUAUCCCAAUAAUAAUAUCCUAACACCCCACUCAAGUUGGAGCAUGCAGAUCAUAAAUGCUGAACUUGUUGAGAAGCUAUUCAAAUUGCAAUUUAUCAAGCACCUUUGUAAAAAUGUUAGCCAAUUGAACUGAGGCCAGGACAAAAGAAGGUGCAAUCAACCUAUCCUGGAUUGCAUCCCUAGCAAAGUGACAAUCCAUUCAAUAUGUUUAGUAUGCUCGUGAAAUACAAGAUUCUGUACAAUAUGCAACGCAAAUUGACUAUCACAAAAAAAAAUAGCUUUAGGAUGAUGAACACCUAAGCUCAAUAGCAAGGCCUUUAGUUACUUGAACUCACAAGUGACGGAAGCCAUAGACCUAUACUCAUCCUCAGCGGAAGAAUAGGAAGCAAUAUGUUGUUUCAUAGUUUUUCAGGAAAUAGGAGAUUACCCCAAAAAUACAAGCUGGCCAGUAAGUGAAUGCCGAGUUGACAGACAAGUAGCUAAUAUGAAUCACAGCUCCCCUUUAAGGACAAAUCACUAUCAGAUCUUAAUAAAACUCCUUGGCCAAUAUAGCCUUUAAGUAUUGGGCAACCCAUAGAGUUGUGUCCCAAUGCUCCUGCCUAUAAACUAAGAUAAUACAUGAACCGAGUAUGCUAAAUCAGGUCUGGUCACUACCAAAAAAAUCAAACGAUCCAUUAACCAUCUGUACAACUCAGGAUCAGUUAAAACCGCCCCUAUAGCAUGUGCCAAUCUAUGAUUUUGCUCUAUUAGGAGUCCUGCGGGCUUUGCUCCCAAAAAACCCAUCUCUGAAAUAAUAUUAAGUGCGUAUUUCCUUUGACAAAGAAAUAUACCCAAAGAACUAUGAGCUACCUCUAUCCCCAAAAAAUAUGUCAUAAUUGCAAAAAAUACUCUCAACGUUUAGGGGUUUUUGGUUUUGUUGCAUUGACCUUUAAUUUAUUGUGGCCCCUAACAUAACGAUUUUUUCACAAUUCAGUCCAAUUUUAAUGGGAAACGUCAGUUGACCGUUAGUCAAGCGCCGAUCAAUAAAACUAUUUAUGUGGCGUGCCAAGUUGAAGAUGAUGUGUCAAGAAAAUAAUUAAAUAUAAAAUUAAAAAGAAAUAAAUAAUCUAAAAAAUAACCCCAAAUCGUGAAAUCCCAAAUUAUCCAAAAAAAUUAUAAAUCCCAAAUCAUGAAAUCCCUAAAAACUGUAAUUCCCAAAUCGUCGUUGAAUCCUUAAAACUCUUACGAUAAAAAAAAAGCUUCAACAAUUUCCAAUAUUCAAGAAAAUCGCGACAACAAAAGAGUUUAAUUGCAAAAGAAAUCUCAGGGGAAGGAGGGGGCAAAGAUUGAUAUGAUUAGGGCAGACUUCGUAACCCAAAUUGAAAGGUAGGUGAUUAUUGAUUGGGUUUUUUGGGAAAAUGUUAUGGUUAUUUAUUUAUUUUUAAUUUGGUAUAAUUUAGAUACCCAAAGUAAAAAAUGUUAUGGUUAUUGUCUGCUGUAGUUUCAAUUGCCAUAAAAAUAGGUUUUUUUUAACAAUAGUGGUGGUUGAAAAUUGUUAGUGUUGUCGAUUUUUUAUGUGAUAGUGGGUAUAAAAUGUAGGGAUCAAACUACAUAGAAAAACAAUAAUUCCAAGCAAAAAGCUUUUCAAAUAUGUUUGGAUAUCGAAAAGGCAGGAUGCCUACUAUGUUCUAUUGUUUACUUUUAGUAAUGUCUUAGUGCUUGUUGCUGUAUUCAAAGAAGUGGUCUUGUUUUGGAUUUUGGUUUUUAGUUGGUUUUUGCUGAGUAAAUUGUUUGUUUAUGGUUGCGAAUUUCGUGGGAUGAGAAAUAUUACCUUAUUUUGCAUGUGGGUGGGCACUUUGUAAAGGAUCCAUAUGAUAGAUAUGUAAGUGGGGAAGUGAUUACGCUUAAAGAGGACCCAGACGUAAUAUCCUAUUUUGAAUUAUGUAAAAUAGUGAAAAUUGGGUUAGGGUUUCACAUGGUCAUGUUAAUAUAUUUUCAUGAGCCUGGUACAGUAGGGUUGUAAAAUAAUCUCAGGGUGAUUUAUGAUGACACUUCCACAAUAGCUAUGUUAGACUUUUGAGUUAAGUUUAAGGAGAUUAACCUAUAUGUUAAACAUGAGGGAGAUAUGUUACUAUUGGUUGUUGGGGAGAGUGAUUUUGAAGAUGAUAUGUUACUAUUGAGUGCUGGAGAAAGUGAUUUUGAAGGAGUAGAAGCUGAUGGGAAGGGUGAAGUUGAAGGGGUACAAGUUGAUGGGGAGGGUGAUGCUGAAGGGGGAGAAGCUGAUGGGGAGGGUGAUGUAGAAAGGGUACAAGCUAUUGGGUAGGGUGAUGUUGAAGGGUAGAAGCUGAUAGGGAGGGUGUGACUUCUACAUAGUUUGGGGUAGAUGAGUAUGGUGGUGGGCAGAUAAGUUUAGGAUCAACUAUUGGAGAAGAUAAUGGAGUGGUUUGGAUCAUCUAUUGGUGAUGAAAAUGCUGUUGAUUUUGCAACAUCAGAUGGAAUGGACAAUGUUGCUACUGUAGUUAGUGAAGAGGAGGAUGGGAAUGAGACUGAGGUAUAUGACUCAGAUGAACAUGGCAGCUUGGUUAGGUCAGAUAAAGAUGAAGAACAUGAAGAUGGCGAGAGAAGGAUAAGCAAGUUUCCCUUAUACAAAGACCAGUUUGAUUCGUUAAAAUUUAGUUUGGGAAUGUUGUUUAAGGAUAGCAAACAAUUUAAGAGUGUAAUUCGAAACUACUUUAAAGAAUGUAGAAGACAACUAAAGUUUCUUAAGAAUGAACUGAAAAGGGUUGUUGUGAAGUGCAUUGCUUCCCCUAACUAUCCAUAGAGAAUUUUGGCUAGCUACAAUCCUGUUGCCAAGUGUUUGCAAAUUAUGAAUUUUCAGAAGGAGCACCAUUGUUUGGUUAGUUUUAAGAACAAAAUGGUGAUUGCUACUAUGAUUGCCCAACAUUUUGAAGCAAUUAUCAAGGAUCACCCUAAGAUGAAGCUGAGGGAAAUUCAAAGAAGUGUGCUUUAGAGAUGUAUGUAAAUGUGAGCAUUGACUGUUGUUAUAGAGCCAACAAAAUAGUGAAGGAGAAAAUGAUUAGGAAUUUUAAGGAGUAAUUCGGCCAGUUAUGAGAGUAUGCUCAUGAGUUAAGGUCAAAGAUGGCUGACAACACAAUAAAAUAGCUAUUCAAAUGGUGACAACAAACUCCGCUUCUUAUUUUAAGAGGUUUUAUGUGUGCUUUGAUACACUAAAGAGAGGUUGGAAAGUGAGGUGUAGGCUGCUCAUUGGGCUGAUGAUUGCUUCCUAAAAAGCCCAUUUAAGAGUGAAUUUCUCGCAACUGUUGGAAGAGACGUAAACAACCAAAUGUUCCCUAUUGCAUGGGCUAUGGUUGAAGUGGAGUGCACUGAUUCAUAGGUCUGGUUUCUCAGUCUUCUAUCAGCUGAUUUGGGCUUGGAAGAUGGGUAUGGAUACAUAAUUAUUAGUGACCAACAGAAGGUUAGUGAGUUAACUAAUUUGGGUUUGGUCUUAUCUUUUUAUUCUGUUAAGUAUAAUUAACUAUAUUUUUCUAACAAUCUAUCUGGUUCAUUAUGACACAAUUAGGGCCUUGAGAUUAUAAUUUCUGACAUAUUGCCAAGGGUGGAACAUAGGAAUUGCGUGAGGUACGUGUUUGCAAAUUGGUCAGGGAGGAAGCUAGGGAAAUCAUAUGAGUAUGAAUUUUGACAGAUUGUGAAGUCCACGACUGAGUGGGAGUGGGAGGAACUAUGUGUAGCAUAGAGAAAAAAGAUAAGGGUGCUUAUGAUUAUUUGACGAGAAAGUCUCCAAAUAUGUGGACUAGGGAUUUUUUGGGGACUACUUGUAAAUCAGAUAUAGUUGACAACAAUAUAUGUGAAGCCUUUAAUUCAAACAUUGUUGAAGCUAGGUUCAAAAGCAUUAUCAAAAUGCUUAAGAAUAUUAGGACCAAGAUGAUGACUAGGAUAGUACAAAAAAGGAAGUUAUGUAAUGGAUGGAAGCAAAAUUAUGGUCCAUUGGUGAAAGCUAAGUUUGAAGCCAACAAGAAGGACUAUGUAAAGUGGCAAUUGAUAUGGAAUGGUGAAAAUGGAUGUGAGAAGAGAAAAGGAAGUUAUUGAUAAAUGCCAAAAGUAAAAUGUUUUAGCUUCAUUCUAAAUGAAUUUUUUGAUGAUUAUUUGAUUUAAAAUGGUGAGUUUUAUGCUUUUAAUCCUUUAAAUUCAUGUUUCUAUACUUGGGAGAGCAUUUGGGAGCAAAAAGAGCGAAAAAUGAUCGAAAAACGAUAGAAAAUUGAAAAAUCGAAGCAAGUUUCAAGAGCCACACGGGCUGGACACACGAUCGUGUGGGUCACACGGGUUGCCACACGACCAUGUGCUAGAUCGUGUGGAUUUCACGAAUCGCACUCCAAACAUGCGAGAAAACACAAUUUUUAGUUUUUCGGGCAUUCUAAGACAUAUAUAUGACAAAGAUAAGAAUAUGAUAGUGAGUUGUCAGAGAAUAUUGAAGAAAACAACUCAAAAAACACAACUGAAGCUGACUCUGAAGCAAAUUUCCAUUAAGAUUGAAUAUCUCCUUUUGAAUUGUUUGAAGUUUAUUAGGAAUUUCUUUAUUCUUGUGGUUAUAUUGUCUUUGAGAUGUUUUUAUUUGCUAUCAUGAACUAAUUUUCCAAAUAUCUAGGGAGAUGGACCCUAGGAUGGAUUCUGUCAUUUGAUUUCUAUUUUUACGCAAUAAAUACUUAGAUCUUGUUCUCAAUUAUGUGUGUUUAAUUCUUGGUUUAAUAUUUCUAGAUUAUUAAUCCAUGUUUGAUGUGCUUGAAUCAGAGGAGGAAUGAACCCUGUUUAAGAGUAGAUCUAGCAUAAUUGAGUGGAGUUGCAUGCAAUCCUAGAAAUAAGACGACAUAAAUCUACCAUAUUAGAGUUAAAUCUAAUAGGGGAAUCCAUAUAUCGAGUUAAUGCGAUAAUAGGUGUUUUAAUUAGAAAUAAAUUUCAACUAAUUAACCUAGAGUCAGUUGCUCUUAGUCUUGAAGAAAGAUAUUAGAAUAAUUUAGGGAUUUCUACAGAUCAAGAUACUAAGUGAAGAAAUUGCAUAAUUUAGAUUAAUAAUGACAUAUGAAGUCUAGGUGGAUUCUUUCCUGGGUAUGGUAUCGCUUCUUGGUUGUUAAUAAUUUAUUUUAUUGAUUUUUUCUUUGCUGUAUUCUUUAGUUAAUUAAUUUAGUUAACUUUAGUUUUAAUCAAUCAAUCCAAUUUUUCGGUUAAAUAAUAGAAAGACGGUAAUUAUUAGUACUUUUAGUCCUCGUGGGAACGAUAUCUUUCCUCACUGUGGCUAUAUUAUUAAUUGAUAGGUGCACUUACCUUUGUCAAAUUUUUAGUUGGUUUACAACUGCAAUCAAUUAUCAAUAUACAGUGGACCUAAGUCAAAGGAUAUGUAGUUGUAGAAAUUGGAAAAUUAGUGGGAUUCCAUGUGCCCAUGCAUGUACUACCAUGUAUCACCUAGGGCUUCAACCAGAUGAUUAUCUGCAUGAAUGUUAUUACAUAGAAACCUAUAAGAAAGGUUACUCAUUUCCAAUGUAGCACAUAAAUGGGCCACAUGAUUGGACAAAAAUUGGUAUUGAGCUAGUGCUACCUCCUAUUGAAACGAAGAUGCCUAGGAGGCCUAAAAAGAAUAGGAGGAUGUCUAAAGAUGAACCGAAGAAUUGAAGCCUGACCACUUGAGUAGGAAAUGUCAAAUCAUGACAUGUACUCAAUGUGGUCAACAUGGCCAUAACAAGCGGUCUUGCACACAAGGAAAUGAACAUGCUAAAUAGGUACAAUGUUGUUCUUCACUUAUAUAUAUUGAGUAAAUUUAUUUUGUCUAACCACUUUUAUUAUGGUCCAUGUUUUGUAGCAAGAUGCACAACCACCCAAACAAAAGGGGAAAUCUCCCAUUAAAAAGUCAACAACCUUAGAUAAAUAUAAGGGAAAGUAACCCAAGAGAGGCAAAAUACAUAGAACAUGUGUAAUAGUGUGUUUUCAAUGAUUCAAAAACAAUGGUUUCGAGACCAUAAUUUUGACGAGUGAAUUAUUAUUUUAAUAUUUAUUAUAGGUCUAUGGGAUUAUACUAAGGUCGUAUUAAAAUUUUCUUAAAAAAUUUUGAUGUUUAAAUGGUUAAUUAAGCGAAAAGGACUAAAUCGUAAAAAGUGUAAAAUUUGAGUUCUAUUAGUUAAAAGGGUCCAAUGGCUAUGAAAUCUUAAACUAAAGGACUUGAAUAGUAAAUAUACCAUUUAAGGUGUUAGUAGAUGUGUAUGGAGAAGCUUUUAAUUAAAUUUUGAUAAUUUUUAAAGGUUUAAAUGACAAUUGAUUAAUUAAAAGAAAAAUUAAGUAAAGAAAGAUGAGACAAAGUCAUCAUCUUCUUCUUUUCAUUUUGUUACAACUGAAAAUCACCAUUUUUUUAGGGUUUGAGCAUUCGACUAGGCUUUCAUCUUGCAUGUAAGCUAUUCUGGGCCCCGUUUUUAAUGAUUUUUAUGUUUUUGAGUUUGUUUUAGCUUAAACUAGCUAGCCCGGGGGGUCAAUUUGCAAAAAAAUUUUAAGUUUGAGAGAUUUUACAUGAAUGUUUUUGAAUAGGUUUUGAUGUUAGUUGAUAGAUUAUUAGUUUUGGUUGUAAAACAAACAUGUUUUGUUAAGUGAUUUUGAUGAAAAUGACAAUUAGCGAUUAAAUUGUUAAAAGUGUGAAAUCAUGAGUUUUGUUGUGAAUUGUUGAUAAUUAUGAGUUGCUUUAAGGUCCCUUGCAUCAUGGGUUAAGUUGGAUUUAGGUUAAAUUGGUUAAAUUUUAAGUUAUGAGUUUAAUGACUAAACUGUGAGAAGUUAAAAUAUUAGGGGAAAAUUUAUAAUUUUAUAUAAUUAUGAAUUAUGGAUUAAAUUGAGUUCUAGAAGUAUUUAAUUGAAUGAAAUUAUUUAUUCAGAUAAAGAUAAACCACAAUCGAAUCUAAACUAAGGAAAAGCUAAAGUUUUGGACUAGUUCGACUUUACUUCUACGCCCUGAUUAUCGAGGUAAGUUCGUAUGAACUGCAAUCGUAUUAAUGCUAGUUAAAUUUUAAUGUUUUCUAUGUUGUAAUAUAAAUGAAUUUGAAAAUAAAUGUAUUCAUGCUAUGAUGAAUUGACGAAUAAUGAGUCCCAAUUGAACCUUAAGAAUUCUUAGGAUGCAAAUGACAUGUUAUUAAGGAUUUCAUGUUUCGGGUGCUAAUCUUGAAUGUCCUACUGAUGGCUGAGGUCCUAUAUUUGUUGUGGAUUCUCCACAGCUCGUGUGAGCAGCAUUGUGUAGCUUACAUUCCGACCCACAACUCAUGUGAGCAAGCCCAUUUCACAACUCAUGUGAGCAAUGAUGUAAAGGAAAUGUUACGAUUAUAUGCAAAAACACACUAUGUGUGAGCUUUCCCGAGUAUCCGAUAAAAUUUUCAAUGGGUAAGAAAAAGGAAAUUAAAUGGUAAGUAUGCAAAUGGAAUGAAUCAUGAUCUUAUGACAACAUUGAUGAGUUAAAUGUUAUGUAUAUAUAUGGUAAAAUACAUAACUUAUGGUUGAUUUCAUAUGUAUCAUGAACAAGUAUACUAACUUGUGAAUUUGAUGAUGUUGUAUAGGCUUUUAAUAAGCUUAUGGCAUUGAUGAUGAUUUAUGUUUAAUCUGUGAAUUGCAUAAAUGACAUGGUAAGUUAUGUUUUAGUUUAUACGAGCUUACUAAGCACUCGUUUCUUACGUAGUUUCUUUACUUUGUUUUAUAGAUUAUCGAAAGCUUGACUAGUUGGAAGUUUGUCAAAGACCUAUCCCACUAUCCAACAACUAAUUUGGUAGAUUUUGUGUAUUUUGGCCAAGGUUAAUAAUGGCAUGGAUAGGUUGUUUUGUAAUGGUGAUUUGGUAUGUUUAUGCUUUUAAGUCUAUGGUUGAUUUGGUACACUUUAAUGCUUUACCAAGUUAUGUCAAAUUGGUCAUUUUUGAGUACUUGCAAAUAAGAUUCUUUUGGUAUGUUGAUGAUGACUUGAAAAUGGUAAAUUUGUGACAUUUUUUGACACAUAUUUGAACUAGGUCUUUAUGCAUGAAUUGAGUCAAUGGUAACAUGUUUAGGUAAAUGAUGUUUUGAUGCUAUUGUAGUGCCUUUGAAUGGCAUAUUGGUUAGGUGAUUUAGGAUGAUUGAAAUGAAAUGUUUAUGCAUGUUUGAAUGGUUUUUGAACCCCUUGAAUGUGUGCUUAAAUGGUUUGAAUGAUUAGGUAUCAAUUGAACUUGUAAUGGUUUGAUUUUAGGUAAAUUUUGGGUUCACACAGCCUGGGACACGAGUUUUCACAUGGCUUGGCAACACGGCUGUGUGUCAUUUGAGUUUUCUUAGUGUUUCAAGUCAGUGAGUUACAAGGCCUAGCACACCAACAUGUGUGGCAACUCAGAGAGUUACACGACCAAGCACACGGCCUGACACAUGGGCGUGCGGGGUAUCUUAGUGAGUUACACGAGUGAGGACACGGCCGUGUAUCCGUUGUUCGAAAGUUACACGGCCUCGGGUGAUGUCACAUGGCUUGCCACACGGUCAUGUACCCCUAUUUUCCAAUUUUUACAACUUUUUCUUAAACUUCCUGUUUUGUUUCAAAUUAGUCUGGAAUUGCUUCUAAGCUAUUUUUAGGGCCUCGAAGGCUCGAUUUAGGGACAAAAUGCAUGUGAAUGAAUGAUUUAUGAUAUGUUUAAGAUAUUUAAUGUUAUAAAGGUAAAUGUUUUCUGUUUGUACGGUAAUACUUCGUAACUCUAAUUUGGCGACGGAGACGAGUUUGGGGUGUUACAAUAGGGUUGUAUACAGACUUGAAUACUUGGAAUCAAACAUUUUAUGUGAGUUUUCUUCAUUUUACUAUUGAUCAAACAUUGUAUAUUGUUUUGAUAAACUUAAAACAUUCUUGCAGUCUGGUAGAACCACAAGGAGCAUAGUGACAGGUUCAUGUAAGGAUGGUACUAGACAAUCUUCUUCGACACCCAAGUCGCCAAAGAACAAGAGAAAGGCUCCUCUUGACCAUUUGGGAACAUAAGAAUCAGUUACAGGAAACAUGAGUCAAUCAGUAGAGAAAUAGUUGACAAGGGUGAAUGUUAUUUUGUCACAUUUUGAGCCUACAACCUUCUGGUUUUGGAAUAAACCAAAAGCGAAUGUUAUUUUGUUGUAUUAAUAACCAAGAUGUUGGUUUUUUUGUGAUUGAUGUAGCUAAGUAUAGCUCACCUACAGUAGUAUAUUAUAUCUGUUACAUCAAACUUUUUUUUGGCUAGUAUAGCAUGAAUGGUGUAUAGGCUAAAUCAUUACCUAUGGAAAGCUUUUGUAAAGUACAUUUAUCCUAAUUUCAAUGGAGAAAUCAUAUAAUUAAAUGGGGGGAUAUUUUUCAGUCUUAUAUUUCUUUUCACUGCAUUAUUUACUAAGCUAAAUUAAAUUACAUAAACAACAACCAAAAUUGGUCAUUAGUUCCGGGAAUAAUGUAUAUAAAGGUUCCUAAUUACAUAAACAGCAUAACAUGAAGCUAUGUUGGAAAAUUUUACAUUCAAUGAACAUUUCCAGCUGCUAGUUGCAUAUGCCUUUUACCACUACUGCCAACAAAGAAACCUAUGGUGAUAACUUUCAUUUUUUCCUUUAUGGUCAUCAUUAACUUCUCCUUAUACAUAACAUCAAGCAAUAAAAUAAUAUCUUAUACAUUGACUUCUCCUUCUUGAUAACUUUCAUUUUUUCAUUCAUGGCCAUCAUUUUGUUCCUUAAUGCUAGUUAUCCUUCAACACCACAAACUGGUCUACCUCCUUCAACCUUAGUGUCAAUAGCACUAUUGCCACCAUUAUGGCUACCAUCAAAUGCAACCAAAUCCAUAAAGUGCUGAAUUCUCCUUUGAAAGAUUUCAUUCACUGUCACACAAUUGAUGUAGUAAUUUAGUCACACGGUCACACAUAUUCCCAUCGUACCACUUGAAGAAAUCAUAACCAUAGCCCUACAAACAAAGCCCAAAUUAGUGACAACAAAAGAAUUUAAAUCAUAAACCCUCAACCUAGGGAAAUUUUUGAAAUCAUCCAAAUUGAGCUAAAGGAGCAAAUAAAAUUAUUCUUCACUUACCCAAAAAUCUA
rnacentral:lncRNA from 1 species